AUUUAUUUUGUUAUCUUACAGAUUAAAUGACCACAAACUUCUUCUGCUUGAAUCAUGUCAUUCUAAUCAAGUCCCUUCUGAUUUUUUAUUUUUACUUUCUUUCAUUCUCUUUGUUAGUCACCAUCCAUUUGCAAGUGCUAUGAUCAUUCACAAAUAAAAUUAUUUCUUUCUAAAUUAUUUCUUCUAAGUAUUCCUAUCUUCUGGUUCUCUUUUUUGUCUCUCAAAACAAACCUUGAGUUUUUCUGAAUAAACCACUUAAAUUUGCUAAUGGCGAUAUUAUAUUGCUACGUCUUCAAUUAUGGCAUCUAGUACACCUCCUCUAAGACCUCUGAAUGGUCAAGCCAUUCUUCAUGUCAUUUCUUACUAACUUGGAAGAAGUUGAACACAGAAUAGAUAGCUUGAAUAAUUGAAAAUAUAUGGAGAUAAUUGUGUUCUUGAUGGAAACUUAUGUUAAGCUUUCUGAUUUACCUCUUUGUUUCCUCAGUUAGCAAAUCCAAUUUGCAUAGCAGACAUCUACUGGAUAGGAUGACAAGACACCCAAACUUAGCUACGCAUUCUUUCUUCCAAACAGGGUGAUCAAUAGUGUCAAUUAAUUAGCAACUGAAUCAUAAAUUUUGUUCCUCGUUUCUGUCACAUACCGUAUACAUAACACUUGAAUAACUCACCCAUCUCAUUGUCCACAAAAACUUUCUUCAAAUGUCUCUUCUCCACUUACAAUCUCUUCAUUUCUCUCACUAAUAUAUUGUAUUAAUAUUAAAAUAAUUACUACUACGCUCGACCAUAGUAAUUAACGAUAUGACUCAGAACUACUCAAGAAUACAUGCCUACCACUGACUUGUUGAUUCUGCAUCAGAUUACAUCAAGAUCAAGAAAACCAAGAAACAAAUGCAUCUACGUUAGCCCUGAAAUAUUUCUUCCCCUUAACCAAGAAAAUCUUAGAGAGAGAGAGAGACGAUAGUUCAAAUGAUACCAUCCACUUCUCUGGGGACCAAGAGCGGCCCCCGGCGUCCGGAAGGAAGCUCUCGUUGACGACCUCCCACGCCUCCUCGACAAGGCCCUCGUUCGUGAUCGAUUCCGGCAGCACAUCAGUGGAGGCCAUCUCGCCAUCAUCUUCUCGACAGAGGUCCGAGGUGGGCGGCGGGAGAUCAACCAGCGACGGAAUCUCGACGGCCGCGGCGUCAAAGAGGGAAAGCGAGGCGGCGAGGGAGAAUGAGAGGGCACCGGCAACCGCCCGGAGAAGAAUAUUCUGGAAGCAUCGCGAGAUUCCCAUGCCGGGAUCGUCGACUUGCUGUUUGCGACUCUUGAUACCGAGAGUGCAAUUAAUGGAGUAGGGGGAGGAGGCCAUCGAUAGGGGCUGGGUUCUCGGUGGAGUUCGCGGUGCCGAUGGCGGCAGGGGGAGUGAGCAAGAAGAGAUCGACCUCAUCGUUAUGUUGUCCCGAGACGAUUGGUUUCCUUCCAAUCACUCGUAUCGGUGGAGUCGCGAAGAAAAAGGAAAAUGCCAGGGAAAAAAUUUGGGCGAAUUUCUUAAAAAAAAAUAAAAAACUAUUGUUUUUUUCUAAGAGCUACUUUAGUAAAUCAGUUCAUGGAUUUUAGAUGAAUAACAAGGAGAAUAUCAUCGGUUAAUCCUUACAUGACAUAUGAUAAACGUUACUCUCUUUCUAUUUAUCCACUUAUACAAAGGUUAAAGAUAAAGAUAAACAGUUAUAGGCUUUAUCGCUUACAUAGAUAAAAAGUUAACAAGUGAUUGUUAGAGAUAGUCGGAGGUUAUCUUUUUAUAAAAUAUUUCAUCGAUCAAAUAUAAAAGUUUAUAUUCAAUACAAUAGAAAAGGAGAUCACUUUUUGACCACUCGCGUCUGCACUACCAAUUUGAACAUCGAAGGGAUUGAGUUAGGAAAUUUCUCUUAAUCUCGAUCUUUGUGUAUGUGAUACCUCAAGAGCUCGAUGUUUUUACUUGGGAGGUAUCUCAAACAAUCCUGCACGUAUAAGUCUGGACCACGUAGGAUUGACUAGGAUGUCAAUAAAUUCUUCUUAUAAUAUUUUUGGCAUUAGGAGGGUUCAAUGUCGUAGAAGCACUCGCUUAUAGACCAUCUCAAUGAAUGCUUCAGUAAAUAUAUUUUACUCUUGAGCCACAAUACUUGUGCCCAAGGUUGGUAGCAACCAUUCUUUCUGCACAAAAGUGCAUCAACCUUGAUUCAGACAUUGAUACAAUAUUGACGUCUAUUCAACAACUCAAGCCUCUCACCUCCAGGGAUGACCCCGAGCAACAUACUUAUCCCCGAUAUGGUAUUCUUAAAUCUCACUCAAGAAGUGUAGAUACGAAUAAGUAUGAUGUAGGUCAUCGCUUUGCUUUUUCUCCGGUUAGCCCAACAAGUGAUACCAUUAGCUCGGCCAUAGUCACCAACUCAAUUGCCACCAACACUAACACUCAUCAACUUUGAAAUUCAAUGGAUCGCACCACCACUCUACCCUACCUAAAUCCGAGGCAUAAUCGGUGGAGUCGACGAAGGAUUUCCUAUGAGUCCAACUAUAGUAGAUAGACCAAUAUUUGGAGAAGAUGUGAUGAUAAUUAUAAUAAUAAAAAGGGGAAGUGUUGAUCGACCCCAUCUCAGGUUGGUUACUAUUCAUCCAAAAGAAGCCAAUUCCAAUGAAUUUUCGUCUCUUAUCUUUGGAGGUGCUUGAUGAUAGUGCUAACUCAAUGGAGCAUAUUAUAGCCUUUCGUGCCCAAAUAUUAUUGUAUGAUACUUCGGAUACCCUAAUGUGUCAUACCUUCCUAAUCACAUUAAGAGGCUUAGCAGAUGAAUGGUAUGUCUGCCUGAAGUCACUUUCCAUCAGUUCUUUUACUUAGCUCACAAAAGCGUUUGAACUUCACUUCAUCAUCAAUAGCAAUACUCCUUAAACUCAGGUAAAGAGAGGAAUAAACACUCGCAGUCUUCAUUAUUCAAUUCAUGAGUGAGAUUUGAGGCAUGCUAAACUUUUAUCAUUCAUAAUACAAACCUUUAUAAUGGGGCUAAAGCCCUCUCACUUUUUUUAGUGAUUGAUAGAGAGACCACCGACAACUAUACCAAAGACACUUUAAAUGAUCAAUCAAUACAUUGCUAUCGGGGCAAUAGUCUUGGACAAACGUGAAGAGGUCGAAACAGGAGUGGCUACAAUUAGCCCUGACCCCAAGGUCACUUUAGCGAAAGAGAAAUGAAUAACCCUAGUAACAUCAUCCAAGGUCCAAGCUGACCUCUCUAAAUAUGACUAGAAUUGAAUGUUUUCUACAAAUAAAAGAGAAAGUAUUCUUAAAAGACCAUCACCCAAUGAAGACCCUGUUGGCAAAAAGAGACAAGUUUAAAUACUGUUGAUUCCACUGAAUUACAAUCACGACACAAAGGAUUGUCACUACUUGAAAGAGUAGAUCAAGGAGUUGAUCUAUUGGGGACACCUCAGAUGGUUCAUCCAAAAGCAUUGAGAACCCUCAUUAACCUUAGGGACCAAUGGAGAGGUCGAUUAAUGUCAUAAUUAGUAGACCUACCCUAAGGGAGAUAACUCCUCGGAUCGUAAGGCUUAUACAUGAGCUACCAUCACAAAGUACUCAAGGAUAAAGAACUACCCGAAAAUAACCUUCAAGGGGGAAAAGACGGAACACCUCAACCUGAAUCAUGAUGAUGCUUUGGUGGUUUAUAUAAGGAUGAUCAAUACUCGAUUGAAGAGAGUCACAAUUGAUACAAAAACAAGCCUUACUCCAAAAUAAUAAUGACUAAAUUUAUGAUGGUGGAUAUCCCUUUGGUGUACAACGUGAUCAUACCCUAACCCACACUAAACAAACUAAGGGCAGUGAUGUCGCCCUAUCACAUGAUGAUAAAUUUUUCAAUAAGAGAGAGGUCAAAACUUGUUGCCUUAAAAUGAUAAAAGGGAUUGUGCUAUUGAGGACAUGCUACAUUAUAAAUUUAAAGAAGUUAUACCCUUAAGGCAUCCCUCGGAGUCAGGUCGGGAUGACUAUAUCUUGAGCAUCAAGCCUUGAUCUACUAUGUCUUCAACGCCAAUUGUAAAAAAGAAAAAAUAUAUUUUUAGGUUAUAGGUGUUAUAAGUUGAGAAAAAAAAUUACAUUACUUAAAAGGACUAUACCAACUUGGUCGAGUCUCUAUAAUAAGAAACAUUUCAUGACAUGAUGUAUAAGAUAAAAUAUGUCCAAAGCACAUGAGUCAGAAAAACUCGAUCCACGUAAGAAGAAACUCACUACGAUGAGAGGCAUAAGAUAAAAUGUGUCCGAGGCACAUAAGUUAGGAAAACCUUACCUAUGCAAUAAAAGAUUCAUCAAUAUGGGAGGCUCAAAACAAAAUGUAACCGAGGCACAUGAGUUGAAAAAACCUAACCCACAUAAUAUGAAACCUACCAUGGUUAGAGGCACAAUAUCAAAUGUGCUCAAGGCACGUGAGUUGAAAAAACCUAACCUAUGUAAAAAGAAAUAUGUCAUGGCAAAAGGAACAAGACGAGAUGUGUUCAAGACAUGUGAGUUAAGAAAACUCGACCCGCAUGAGAGUAAAUACAUUAUGAUAGAAGACACAAGAGAAAGAAUAUUCGAAGCAAAGAGGUCGAGCAUUGACCCACUUCUUUACUUAAAGUGCAUAGCCCACUACCUAACAUAACCCAUCGGCCUAGAGGCUAAAAAAAAAAUGCAGGCACCUCAAAUAGAGACGACCUCCCUCCGCCCAAGGUGGGUCCCUCAAUGAUGGGUGGGGCAAGUCGAUGAUAGGGAGCUUCGUAGCAUCCCUGUUGUGGACCCAUUGCCUACACAAUGUGGUUCCCUCAAUAACGAGUAGAAGAGGAGCCCACCUUAACACCUCCUAUAGCAUACCUUGACUCAUCUCACAUCUCACCUUGAUGACGAGUAGAAGAAGAGGGUUAGGUCAUCGAUGGGGGGCUUCACAACAUCCCUGUUGUGGACUCGUUACCUGACGUGGGUCCCUCAAGGACAAAUAGAGGAGGAGCCCACAUUGCACUAUUUGUCACCCACCUUAAUUCCUCUUAUAGCUUGCCUCGAUGACGAGCAGAAAAAGAGGGGCAAGUCAGUGAUGGACCGUCGCUAGUAGCGCCUCGCCUGUAGUCCUCAUUGAGCCAAGGAAGUUAAGAAAUUUGACGAUGAGCAUAAAAAGAAGGGUAGGCCUGCGAUGGAUCACCUCUAACAAUGCUUGCACCCCUUGCUUACGAUCCUCACUGAGCCAAGGAGGUCAAGAAACUCGACCUCCUCCUCCGCUCGAGGCGUGGUGGUCGGUAAACUCAUCCAGGUCAAGUAGAGAUGGGCCCACUCUACUCCCUCGACAAUGGGAGAGGUAAGUCGGUGAUGGAUCAUCGAUUAACAAUGCUCGCACCCCUCGCCUGUGGUCAUCAUCAAGCCAGAAAGGUCAGAAAAUUCGACCCCCUCCUUCGCUCGAAGUAAAGAGGUUAAGCACCUAACCCUUCCUUUUUGUCACUAUCGAGCCACAAAGGUCAAGGAACCAACCCCCAUUAUUGUCGUCCUCCAUGCUUGGAGGGUCGGGUUCACUUCGAACCCCUCUUGUGAGAGUCAUCAAAGCACAUCUUAGAGAAGAGACAAAUGAUGAGGAGAGCAUCGUCAGUCAAUCUUCACCUGACACAUGGCCUUCACAUGGUAUCUAAGGUGGAAGAAAAAGUCAAAGGCUACCCUUCGCUUCUUUGCUCACAUGGACAGGGUCCAAGACAAUCAACUAUAGGCUACAUCCCCCUUGCUACCCAUGUAGAUAAAAAAGGUCAAGAGGAGAUUGUUGGAGGCAAUUAGAGGUUGCCUCCUAGAAUGUUAUAUAUAAUAUUUUAUCCUUUUACAACUAGGCAUAAAAGUUCAUCUUUAAUACAAGGGAAGAGGGGGGAUUACUUUUUAACCACUCGUUUCUGCACUCAUCUACCUUAAGCUACUAACUUUGGGGUUAAAGAGAUCAGAUCGAAAAACUUCUUCCGACCUCGAUCUUCGUGUAGAUGGCACCUCAAGAGCUUGGUGUUUUCACAUCGAAGACAUCAUAGACAAUCCUACAUACAUACGUCUGAACCACAUCGAACUGACCAAGACAUCAACGACUUCUUCCCAUAAUAAUCUAUAUAAUGAAUCAAUCCUAUUUUUUAACUAUCAUAUUUUUAAAUAGAUUUAUAAUAUUUUUAAAAUAUUAUAAAUCUAUUUAAGAACAUUAUAACUUAUAUGAAAAUCUCUCUUUUAUUUCUAAACUAAUAAAAAUAAAAUAUUUUAUUUUUAAUAUAUAAACUAGUUUUUAUUGGAUUUUUAAAAAUUCAUUUGCUUCAAUUAUAAUAUUCUUGAAUAUACUUAUUUGGUGAAGGUAUAAAAAACAUAAUUAAUAUAGAAGUUCUAAAAUCAAUAAUGAUAAUUAUUUAAAAUUAUUAUAUAUAUAUAUAUAUAUAUAUAUAUAUAUAUAUAUAUAUAUAUAUAUAUAAAAGUUAGUUUUAUAUUAGAUUUUGAGUUAAUUUAUCUCAAUCGUAAUGUUUUUAAUAAAUUUGCAAUGUCUUAUUAGGAGAUUCUAUUAAAGAAUUAUAAUAUUUUUCAAUAAUAAUUGGACAAGAAACGUUAUUGAAAUAAUUGAAGGAGGAGAGAGAGAUAAAAGAUAAUAAAACGAAGGAGGCGAAUGAGAAAGGAGAUUGAGGAGGAGGAAUGAGAUAAGGCAAAAGUGGACGAGAAGAAGAGGAAGAUAGAGAUGGCGAAGACAACAAGAAUAGGAGAAAAACUAGAUUAGGAGAGCAGAUAGAGAUUGAUAGGGAGGAUGAGGAGAAAGAGUAGGAGGAAUCAGUUUAAUAAAAAUAAAUAAAUUAUGAAUUAUUUUUAAUUUUAACAUCAUUAGAUAUAAAAUGUGAUGAUAUUUCUGUUCAAAUUAGAAAAAUGGCACCCAAGUAAAACAGAAUUAGGAGGGCAUCAUCUUUAAAAAACAAAUAGUGGGUUUUUUUUAUAUAUUAUCCAAAAAUAAAAGAGAUUAACAUAUCCUCCACAAAAUAAAAAUAACAAAUAUAUAUAAUCUUCCAACAUCUUUAAAUUACUUAAAUGUUCCUGUAAAUCUGUUAAAUCUUAUAUUGUGGUUAACAUUAAUUAGCUUUGAUCAGAACACGUAUAUAUAAAUGACAAUAAAUUGUUAAAAUAGUAUAAAUAUCAAUUAUAAUUUAAUCUAAAAUAAAAUGCCAGUCUGCCAACGAAAAUUUAUUUAUAAGCGCAUUACAUAUAAAAUCGGCUUGGCUCCGGUUUGGCUCCGGUUCAUGGUUUGGCUCCGGUUCAUGGUUUCAGUAAAAUUUCAAGAAACGGUUUUCCACCCUCCGACAACGUUCCACAAAAGACACCCGCCCUGUUUCUGGGAGGAGCGGUGGCCCCCUGUGGGACGUGGCUUCCUUUACGUUUGAGGUAUGUGUGGCACUGUGUAGGAUAAGUAUUACCGCUAUAGCUUUUGGUUUUAUAUAGACCCCAAAAAAGAACCGGCGGUUGACGACAGUAUGUGUGCCGGUUCAGUUAUAGACCGAACUAAUUAUAUGUUUAUAAAUAUUCUUCCGCGCCCUAAACCGGCCCAUUCCGGUCGUCCUUUUAUCUUCGGGGUUUCCCUUUUGCCCUUUAUGUUUCGAUGCCCUAAUUCCUGACGAGCGACGCUACCCCGCGAUCGCUCUCUCGCCCCCGAGGAUCACACCUUUGCCGUCGAUAUUACCUCUCCGUGGUGGCGAGCCCUCCAUUGCCGUCGCUUGCCAAGUGGUGCCUGUCUCUCUAGUGCGAUUAGCUUGUGGUGCGUUUUCUUUUUCUCGAUCUUUUUUCUUCUUACUCUAAUCUGAUAUACUCGACAUCAUCAAACGUUAUCGAUUCAAUGAGUCAUUUAGGGUUUUGUAAUUCCUGUGCCUCCAAUUGAUGGAUCUCUUAUUUUUUUGGUUGCCCUUUGGAUGAUUUGUUGAUGCCGGAACGGCUCGAGUUCUGUGCUUGGAAAUUUUGGUUAGCUGCUCCAAUUUUACUCAAUAUUAGUUUCUCAAAUUUUUGUUUGGAUGUUUGAUAAAUUAUUUCGGUUUUAGAUCGUUACAAAAGGAACAACUUUUAAAGUUCAAAACGACAUUGCUGGCUUUUUGCCUUCUCUUCUGUAUAUCUAUGUUGAUUGGUGCUUCUAUGUUGUUUAGCAGCCGCUAUUCGAUUGCAGAGAAGAUACAAUCUAGUAGGUCCACCUUACGUAUUUCAUAAAUUCGCUUAUCACCUUUGGUAUUCAUAGAAUAACAGAUCGCCUGCUGUCUUUCAUCGAUUAGCAUUGCCGUGUUGUAUCCAGAGAGUUCUGUGUCAGUUUGCAUCAGCAUCGAUGGAUUGCAUAUGUUUAUCUAAAGUAUUAUGAAACUUAAUGAUACAUGUUGGGUUGGGAAUCUAUUACAUUCGUGCAAGUUAUUUAGGCUUUCUGGAUCUUCUGGUAGGCAGCAUUCAUGGAGAUUGAUCUCCUAAGAAAGAUCCUAAAAAGGAGUAUUUGAUUGUUGCGUUCCGGGACACACAUGAGAUACACAACUUAUACAUUUUUGCACUGGACUUAUUGGUUGUUAUUUUUUGUUUAGCUCACGCAUAGGUUCUUUUAUAGCUAUCUUUUAUAUGAACUGAGAUUCUGGGUACUGCAUUUUUUAACUAAUGAAUUAUAAGAUGUUUGAUUCCCUGCAAAAUGGCUUUAUAUCAAAAUGUUGAAGCUUCGAUUUGGUGCCAAUAAGAAUAUUGUUGCAAUUUCAGAUAUCCUAAGUAGGAGGCAUAUUAAUUAAAAAAUUCUUGCAAAAGUCCUUAGAGCUGUGCAUGCUCGAGGAGUUGAAAGUUUACUUGAUUGUUUUGGAUAUGUGGGCCUAAUUGUAAAUUUAUGGCCAUGUAUUAUCUGAACAUUACUUUUUCCAAAAUGUUAAAUGACAAUUCUUCAAUCUUGACCUAGCUUUAUAUCUGUUUUUUUGGGUUCUAAUACGUGAGGCCUCACUAAAUUUCUUUUUUCCUUUUAACAGAUUCCAUUCCUAGUAAUGGCAAGUUACUCAGGGAGAGGUGGACCAUCAAAUGGCUCUGUUUAUGUGUGUAAGUUGCCUCCUGGAACUGAUGAGACUAUGCUGGCCGAGUAUUUUGGCACCAUAGGGUUGCUAAAGGUAUAGGUCUUGCCAGAUAUCCUUUUGAAUCAUCUUCCAUUAUUUUCAACUAUUUGUUGUGUGUAACAGAGACACUGUUUUAUGAUUUCCAUCUAUAAUUAUAUAAUAUGGCUGCUCAAAAUUUGACAGAAGGAUAAAAGGACUGGUCGACCAAAAAUUUGGUUGUAUAGGGAUAAAACUACCAAUGAACCUAAGGGCGAUGCAACAGUUACAUAUGAGGACCCACAUGCAGCUCUCGCUGCUGUUGAAUGGUUCCACAACAAGGAUUUUCACGGAGUUCCCAUUGAAGUUUAUAUAGCAGAGUCAAAAACUAAAGACUCAAUUGAUAAUUCAACUCAGCAGGAUGGUUUUGAAGAAAAUCCAAUUAUGGAAGUUGGAGGGCAUGAUGAUCUGAAUGGUGCCGGAGGUAGAGGUAGAGGUCGUGCUGGUGCAUCAGGAAAAUCAUGGCAACAAGAUGGAGACUGGAUGUGUCCCAAUACAAGGUCUGUGGUAUGAUAUUGGUGAGCAACUCAUUCUUGCACUAUUAGAUAAUUUUUCUAAUUUGAAUAUGUUCCAGAUGAUGCAACUUGUUUUAUCAUUCUUUCUUUUGCUGGCAGUUGUUCCAAUGUGAACUUUGCAUUCCGUGGUGUGUGUAACCGGUGUGGGACAGCUCGUCCUGCUGGUGUUGGUGGAACAGGUGCUGGUGGCGGUGGUCGAGGAAGGGGCCGAGGUAGUGGUGAUGCUGGAGGAGUUGCCCGUUCUGUUGGUGGUCCCACAGGGCUUUUUGGUCCAAAUGACUGGCCCUGUCCGAUGUAAGUAACCUUUCUUGCUUUAGAAGUUAGUUUUGUCCCAUUUGAAAUGCUUUUUUAUCACUUAAUGUGGAGAGUAUCUAAUUUCUUGCUGAAUAAAAUCCAACUUUUUGAUAUGAUUCAUGGUGUUUGCUAGAACAAAAUACCUUUUUUUAGGCAUAAAGUGAUGUUCUGUUUUCUUUUAGCAGCAUAAUUUUAUAAAAAAAAUUCUGUGAGAAACUCAUUUGUUUAUUGCAGCUAUUUGUUAAGCUUAGUUUGACCCAAUGGUUGUUUGCUUUAGCAAAGGAUGUUACCACUUGACUUGGUUUGUAAGCAUUCAGCAAUGAUAUGUAAUAAACUAUUCCAGUAGCACUAUAGUUAUACGGAUAGCAUUUAUCAAUGAUUUAUUUUGACCCUUUCCAGAUAUUACACAUUUCCUAGUGCCAAAAAUAAUCAAGGAAUACACCAGAGAAUAGAAAACAUAUGCUUUUCCCCAAGCCCAAAACAUUCCAUUAGUUUCAUUUAGUUAUUUUACUGUUUGAUUUCUUACUCUAUGCACAGGGAAACUACAUAUUAUGGCAAUGUUUUUCUGUUCUUUUUUCUUUUACAUCUUUUGAGGUUUUACCAGCUCUGAUUUUUGCAGACUAGUAAGCUCUAAUUAUAUUUAACACGCACACCCAACAGAAAGCAAAUAUGGGUUAGAUAUUCUUUGUUGCACCCUUUAUGUUGGUCAACUGAAUUCAACACAUGAGAAGACAUCUUUAUUAACACUUCCCUGCUUAGAGAAUUUUUUUUGUUGUGCAUGAUAUGUCAUAGUUGAAAGCUGUAUCUUGUAUGCACAUACUGUAUAGGGUGUUUGUUGCUUUUUUGGCUACAAUGAAGUUAUCAUUGAAACCUUUUCAUAGUACACUGUUCAUUAAUUUUUAUAUAGGUUACUGCUUGAGCAAGUGUUUUUUCCCUUCUACAUAAGAAACAUUAAACCCCUGCUAAAUUGGAGCGAACGUCUCAUAUUGUUGGUUCACUGCUUGGAGAUUAUCACACUGUCCUGUUUACCAUGCGAAUAAAUCAUGAAUCGAUCAGUAGCACACUAUGUUGUAGAAGACAACUCUUCUCUCUCUCUCUCUNNNNNNNNNNNNNNNNNNNNGACAACUCUUCUCUCUCUCUCUCUCUCUCUCUCUCUCUCUCUCUCUCUCACACACACACACACACACAUGCACACACACUCACACUGUUCAUCAAACAGAUACAUACUCUGAAGGUUAUAGAUACUCUACAUGUUUUGCCUCUCACUGAUUUUCUGUGGCCGUCAACCUAUCACUCAGUGAAGUGUUGCUUUAUCUGACCCACUUACUAUGUCAUCAUGACAAGGCUGAUGUUCCAUUGUUCAAAUAAAUGUUUCAGGUGUGGCAACAUUAAUUGGGCAAAGCGCACAAAGUGCAAUAUAUGUAACACCAACAAGCCAGGUCACAAUGAGGGUGGUGUGAGGUAAUAUGAAUCAUGCAUAGAAUGGCCAUAUUGUAAGAACAUUUGAAACUUAUUAUUAUGGAUAUUAAAUGAUUUUUACAAUUUUUAUGUCUAUAUUUUACCCAACUGUUUAGCAUGUUGGAUAAGUUUAUAAACUGAAUUAUUCCUUGUUUGAUUUAUGUUAUAAUUCUUCAUACCAUGUGCUUGCUAAGCAUAACAGAACCGGAGUUGAUAAUGAUAAGCAUGCAAGCAUUGUUUUUCAGUUUGGCUUUAGUUAUGCUCCACUGAUAGUAAUAGUGACACAUGGAGACAGUCAUAUUUUCUUCUGAUGCCUGGGCAUUUAUGCCAUGCUUAUUUCUCGACCUGAAUGUAGAUGUUGUUGUAGCUUAAUUGAGAACCACUUAUGUAAUUUUGUUGAAGCAUUUUCUUGGUUCCAUUGCUUUAUUUGAUAGAGGAGGCCGUGCUGGAGGUUACAAAGAACUUGACGAAGAAGAAAUAGAAGAAACAAGGCGACGGAGAAGAGAAGCUGAAGAGGUUGAUGAACCUGUAACUUUUGUUGGUGAAUUUUCUUUUCCUUUUUACAUGUGUACAAAUAUUUCGUUUGUGUCCCGCAGGAUGAUGGAGAGAUAUAUGAUGAAUUUGGAAACCUUAAAAAGAAAUUUCGUGCAAAAACACAACAAGCUGAAGCUGGGCAAAUGGUUCCUGGCUCUGGCCGUGCUGGAUGGGAGGUUGAGGAGAUAGGUAACUUACACCUUAUUGACUAUGUAUCAUUUAUAAUGUUAUUUAUUACUUUUUAAAUAUGUAAAUAAAUGUUAAUGCAUGCUAUAUGCGAUACUGUUUAAUUAAAAUGCUUAUACUGCAUCUUAUUUCUUGAAGAUUUGGAUGUAUCGGCUUAUUUUUAUGAUCUAUCUAUAUCCAUGCUUUGAAGAUGUCUUUUUCCUUUUUUUGAUCACUUUUAUAAGGUGAUAUUUCUACUUUAUGUGCUUGUUGUACAUGUUUAAAGAAUAUUCGAUUCUACAAAGUAGAUGCUAUAAAAUCUUUCAGUAACUUGUAAUAUGCUUCUUAUGACUUGCGAUACAUUGAAGUACCAAGUUCUCAGAAUGUAAAUGUAAAGAGAUUAUAUUUACUUUUAUGUUGCUAAACGACGAUGCUACAUUCAGUCCUACAUUUGCUAGAGUUGAAGAGACAAGACCUUUUGUAGAAUUAGGACUUUUGCUCAUACAUGUGUUUCAAUACUAUAUUAACAUAUUUUAGCAUUUGAUGCUGAUGGGGUUCUAGGAAAAUAACAAAUAGAAAACUGCAAAAUCUGAUGUGCUGGUUUGCAUAAUAAUUUUAAAAUUUUAUAAUGACAUUUGCAGGUGUCUCCGAGAGACACGGUGGAGAGAAAAGCAAAGACCGUUACAGAGAUUUCAAUGAACGGGAAAGCAGCAAGAACCGGGAAAGAGAUGGUUCUGAGAGGGAGAGGGAGAGACGCAGGAGCCGAAGCAGAGAAAGGGAGAGGGAGCGUGAGAAGGAACGAGGGAGAGUCUCGGAUCGAGAUUAUGGAUAUGAAAGAGGUCGGGAACGUGGUAGGGACCGCCACCGAGACUGGUAGUGCUUUUGCCAAGGCUAGGUUUCUACUGCUGCGCAUGCCUUUAGUAUAUUGAAACUGUUUUGUGUCAUCUGUAGCUGGAAGCUUUGUUAAAAAUUUCUUGCUUGAACAUCCACUUUCUUCUUUCUGUUUCCCCCGCCCCCCCCUUUUUUCAUUUUACCAACUGAUGACAUCCUUUCAUAUCAACUUUUGAAGCAAAUGUUUUGAUUAUUCUAGUGAUUUGAGUGAUGCUAGACUAUUGCAAAAUGCAGGCGCUGAUAAAAAGCCAGCUUGUGAAAAGCUUUCUAGUUCUCGAAUGUAUCUACUGAAGGGUAGUUUAACAUUCAGGAGAUUGAUGUUCCAUAUGUAUAAACCUGCAUUGUUCUUACCUUUAACAUAUGCUGUUGUCUUCAGGGUGACUACAUUUUGAUCAAUGUCACUGAUGCAUAUGGUAGUUCUCACUGUAGCUAGAGACUCGAUGCAAUUUAACAUUAGUUCCUUUGCAUGUCAGCUCAACUUGCAGAGGGCACUUGGUAAACCCCUAAUCAGCAAAGCAGCGGCAAAUCUCCCCAGAGGAGGAUCUGAAUCAAGAGAAUUGAACUUGGCGAUUAGUAUGAAAUCAUUUUUGGUAACUCCUGAACUUACCAUGGGAUGACAAUGCUUUUCAUUUUUUCCUUACAGUUUGAUUAAGAAAUAAAUUAUUUUGUUGGCUAGAAAGAAAGUCCAUUCGCCUACUAUGCUGAUAAACAUUGUCAUUUAGAGGAUGUGUCAUUGAUGAGGGGAUGUCCGAGACAAUUGGAUAGAGUCUUAGGAUAAAGACAAGCAGUGCAUGUUGUUUUUGAGUUAGAUAUCAAGAGAAUAUAUGUCCCUUCAAUAGGGUUAUUUUGGUGUAGUUAAGACGUUUGGAGGGCAAAAAGGCAGACAUGAGUUAGGCAAUGGAAUCCAAUCAUAGGAUGUUGGCUUGCCCAAGACAAGUCAUAGUUUCUUUGCUGCUUGUUCUCUUUUCUGUGAUGGCACAUACGAACUUUAGAUUGUUAUCCAAGUGUACCAAAUUGAACUUUCUUCCCCCCAGUAUGCCUGAAAGAUACUGGUGUUGUCAGUUCACUUAAAAGAGACCUUCCUUGGAAACUGGCAUUUUAUCUUGUCCUGCGUUUGUUUCAUUUUGUGGGUUAAUCUUUUGUUUAUGUUAAGCUUGCCAUAAACAUGGACUGCACUAUGUACAUGGGACAUGUAUUCUUCUGGAUACCAAACUAGAUAGAUCUUGAUGAGUCCAAAACAAAGUGGUCAAAAGGUAAAAGAAGGAUCAAGGCCAAGAGACUGGUCAGCUAAGAAAAGGUCGUUCCUUGGACUCAGGCAAUGGGGUCCUGAUAACAGUAACAUUGAUUACAUCAAUGCUGGCAAUGUGGGAUGUGUUUUAGGUCGAGACAGUUGAUGACAAGGGUGAGGAGUUUGGAAGAACAAAUGUUUUCAUCUUAUUAGGGGAUGCAGAAACAUCUUGUUUCUUUAGGAUCACAGAAACCCAACAUAUGUCAGAGUAGUGUGGCAGCACAACUUAAUGAUCUGGAGGAACUUAUCUGUUGAGAACCAAGAGGGAGACAAAGGCAACAUAAUAAUAGGAGCCUGUUGGAUCUUGUUUGUUGCUUCAGCAUCUAAUAUGUUUGAAUCCCUGUCCCCUAAUUAAGACAAGCUCGGGAGUUAGGACAUUGCUUUCCACAGGACAUGUUGUUUUAUAGGUGACAGUCCAGUAUUAAUGAUGUGGGUGUGGUGAGAGACCUGAAAGAUAAAAGACUGAAGACCGACGUAGAUGAAGAAUGCAUGACAAAAGAUUAGUUUAGUAAGAGGAGCCAUGCUACGUAGAAAAGGAAGUAAUCUUAUGCUUGGGUAGAAGACAAACGGAGCCGAAGGCAAAGACAAAUCCUGCAUAUGUUAUCAUUUGCAUGAAGCACUUAGCAGUGCAAUAGGCCAAAGCUAUUUUAUGUUCAUCGAUUAUAGAACUAUAAGAUGCACUAAGGAUGGGUCAGAGGGCUCUGUCGAAAAGAGAACAAAGGUGAUGUGUUGGCUUGGGUAAUAAAUAAGAAGAAGAUCCAUGAGUGGACACCAACAUCCCAAGGCAAGGCAGUCUUCCCAGUGGAGACAAUGAUACAAGUAAAGAAGGUAGUAGAAUCCUCUUUAGUGUUGAAUGCAAAGUUGGCUUUAUCCAAGUGAUUUCUGCUAGUGAUUGAGUAAUUAUCAGACAGAUUAAUGGAGGCUGUCAUGAUUGUGCUGGUGAUUAUUAUUGUUGCCCAGUUUUUUUUUUUGUUCCUGCUCGUUAUUGCUCCAAUGCUGAUGAAUUUUGUGGCAUCUAAUGAGGCAAGUUUUUAGACAAACUAAUGUUAUUUUAUGUGAUGUUAGAGUGGGUAAUGAUGCUUUUUCAUGUGAUCAUUAAACAAUGAGCAAGUGGACGACUAGUGUUGUUUAAGAUAAAAAGGGAUAUAUAGUGCUGACAAUGGCAAUCGAGAACUUAAAAGCCGUCUCAGUACUACGUUAAGGAUAAAUAAGUUCCUUCUUUUGGGGGUGUGGAUAAUGUGUGGGAUAUCUGUUAGUUUAAUUUGAAUUAAUUUCUUACGAAUUAUUUGAACUCGAAUUAUGUUCAGUAAUUAUUUCUUACAACAAAAUCUGAGUACCAAAAAUUGCACAUUUAUCAGAGAGAGAGAGAGAGAGAGAGAGAGAGAGAGAGAGAGAGAAAAGAAGCAUUUUUUUUUUGCCUUCUUGAGAUAUAGGAACGCUAAAUUCGAACAAAGUAGUGAUCGCUUAUCGCACGGAUUUUAAAGCAUUUCAGUGGUCUGGUAGUGCUGCGGAGCAGAUUAAGAAGGGCGGGGAGGCGAUGGCCAUGCGCUCCUCGCGAUGGAACCUGGUUUGCUUCGCAAUGAAGGCCUCCACCGCACGCCGGAACUCCUCCGCGUCUUCCGCCUGCACCUCCUCUUCGGAUGCCUCCGUUGUUGUCGGUGGAAACAUGUCCCUUUUCCGGCCUGCCACCACCGUCUCUGCCCGACGAAGCUCGGGCGGUGGCCCGCGCCGCCGCUCCAUCCUCUGUGAACGGCUCUUCCGGAAUGCUCGCGUCUCGACGCACACGGCCUUGUCCUCGUACACCACCACCUCCUCCUGUGGCGGCGGAAGAGAGAAGGAGAACCGGAGGCCGCGGCUCUCGAGGAACUCGUCGAAGAGGUCGCCGACGGCCGCGGAGGAGGAUGAGGAGGAGGAGGAGGCAGAAGAAGUGGUGGUGGCUGAGGAGGAGGAGGGAGAGGGGGAUAGGUGGCCGGACUUGGCGAAGAGGAGGAGGACGAUGGCGUUGCCGAGGAGGAAGACGAAGCGUGGGCUGAGGAGGACCGCGGCGAGUCGGCGGAGGAAGUCGACGGAGAGGCGGGCGGCUGCCGGAAGGCGGGCGGAUAACCAGGAGAAGAGGAGGAGGCCAGCGACGGCCUCGAGGUAGCGGAGCAGCGUCCCGAUCUUUUGGAGGCGACGGUACCGCCGCAUCGCGGUCUCCUUCUCCGCUUGGAUCGCGUCCAUUCCCGGAUCGGACGGUCCAGAAUCAAUCACGACGAGCAGAACCUCCUCAGAAGCGGAGUAAGCCCUGUAUGAGUGAGCUCUUCGGGAAAGCGAAGCUCGAUGGCCCGUCUUAUAGGGAUGAGUGGCCUUUUGCCAUAUCACCACUAUAUAUAUAUAUAUAUAUAUAUAUAUAUAUAUAUAUAUAUAUAUAUAUAUAUAUAUAUAUGAUUGAAGAAAAUAUUUAAUUAUCGAAAACAUAAUUAAUUUAGACAAGAUUUUAAUUUAUGAAAACAACCGAUUAGGGGUGCAAUUAAAAAUAAAUUAAGUUCUAAUAAAGAGUCAAAGAUGAAUCUACUCCAACAUUAUUGCAUGCGACCCAUUUAAAAUGGACAAACUACUCGUUGCUCAAACAGCUCACACACCACAUCAAGCUUCAUAUACUUUAGACAGAAUGAUAACUACGUAUUAAAAAUAUAUAUUUUAUUUUUUUUUCUUAUUUUCAUCAACAAUAUUUUACACAUCUCUGAUCAAAAUGAUACGAUGCUUUUUUAACAUCGACAUAAAUGAGAUCCUAUCAAAAUUAAACAUCAAUAAGUUUAAUUUAAUAUUGGGUGAGUUUAUUAUGUUCGAUUGACCCAAAGCUGGAUUCCAGUGCCUCUCAUCGGUGAAACGAGUUGGAGUAGCUUGUACAUUUCAUAGACUUGAGCCACAAUUUAUGAUUCCGGAAUAGCUUUAUGUGAGAAGCAAUCAUUUUACGUAUCAGGCCAAGUAGAGAAUUAUCUUUUGCUCCUACGUUGAAGCUGAAUCCAAAAGUUCGAUCAAGAUAGAAUCCAUGAAUCAGUGAGUUUAUUUCUUGUUUCUUAUGUAGAUUAUGACAGGAAGAAUGGAUAGGGCUUUUAAUUCAGGAAAAAAGCUUGAUCAUCAUCGGAGUCACAGACAGCUGAUGAUCAUGACAGUGGUUCCGAGGAAGGAAUCUGCUGGGCUCUAAAACGCAUUAAAGACCCUCACCAAAUCCAAAUCUCAAACCACGGAGGCAGCAGCUAUAUUAUGAGGAACUGUUGCUGUAGAUUUAGUGUAGGUAUGUCGGGUGGAAAUCUAAAACCAACCCUAAGAGAGAGGAGCCCAUCCCAUUCCGCAUUUCUUAUAGUUCCCGGUCAAAGACUAGAGCUUGAUUGAUGCCAGAAAUCUGCACCACCUCUACGUAUACGUUUGCAUGGAAGAGGAGACCAUUGUGGUGUUGGAAAUGGUGGUGUUCACUCUCUCGGAGCUGUGCGCACGAGUGCAGUAUUGGAAAUGUAUUCUCAGAUGCGACUUGUCAAAGCAACCAGAUCUCUCUCUCUCUCUCUCUCUACCUAAACCCCUGCGGUGGGUAACGUAUAAACAAGCGCCUCCCGGCCGAAACAGUGCGAAGAAAUGAGUAAAGAAUGCAACAUCAUGACUCUCUGCGUCAGAGUUGAGGGGACCGGAGCUCGAGGCUGCCAACUCGAACGCUGCAGUAUUGACGCAGGUGGCAGCGGAUGUCCGGAAGCCAACCACCACCACCACCACCACCACCACCUUCCACUCCUCACCCGCAAGGAGGGCCGCCACCGCCGCGGCCAGGCGACAACUUUUGGCGCCUCAGGACGGGCGAUGUGGAGGGAAGAGCGAGAUUAGGUGGAGUGGAAGGUGGCAUUCUUUGUGCCAGUGGGUACUGCAGCUUGUGGUGUGGUUAUUGUGUUGACGACUUGUCUAAAAUAUCAUAUAUAUUUUCUUUGUUGAUAUUUAAUGCUAUUAUUUUUUGAUCGAUUUUCUUACAAAAAUAUUUUCUUCCCCGUUUUUGUUUUUUCAAAUCCAUCAUGUCCUAUUUUCAACCUCUCAAAAAUAUUCUGCAAUCGUCAACGUAGGUUGCAGAGGCAGAAGAAGAAUCCACUUCAUGGCAGGCUUUGGAUUAACAUGGCGUUGAUGCGUAAUAUAUGACGUUUGUCAACCGCCAUGUACGUGACAGUAAAAAGCUUUACGUUGACCGAGGGGGUACGGCCUGGGCUCGCCAUCACGGGUUUUAUUACCCUAAAUGGAAACUACUAACCAACGGCUGAGAUCGUCUUGGAAGGACACAAAAAGAUUUGAUCUAUUUACCCCAAAGCCCUUCAUCUUUUCAAAAAUUACCAACGAUGACUGACGGCGGCUAUGGUUCCAUAAAACUGGGCCGGUCUGCUACUUCAGUAGGCCCAAUACGGCCCAAUUAGUAGUGAUGAAUGGGCUUGGCUCGGUGCCUUUGAUCAAAGCGGGAAAGAGAGAGAAGAUGUGUUGGAGGAGGUAUAAGAGGAUGGGCAGCCAUGCUUGCUUUCCCCAUCGAUGACCUCCAUGUGAUCGUAUAAACAAAUCGAGAGCUUAUAGAGAAGAAGGGAGUAAGAUAUUCGAGCAGUUUGCAAUGAUACCGAAACAAGCAAGAACAGUCUCAUGAACAGCGUAUAGAGCUGGUGUUUGGUCCGAAGGGCAGGGAAGAAAACAUGAAUCCUUUCUCCCGUGAUCAGUCCAUUCGCCUACGAUGCUCCCUCCCGCAACAAUCCAAACGACUGCCUUCAUUUCAUAUACAUGCAAGGAAAACGAGGAUCCUUGGUGUUGCCGCUCGAAACAGUGCUGCCGUGCGAUGGAACCUCGGUGCACAUACGUGCUUGGCCGCACUCGUCUCCGGGGAGCAGUCCCAUGUGUGUGAUCUCUGCGUCUUGUAUCGUCGCCUCUUGUCCUCUUGCGUGAUUUGAUGGGCUGCCUCACCGCGGCCGCAGCUUUCCGGCGCAAAACUUCGGGUCACAGUGCCCCCAUUCUUGUCCUCGGCAUCUACGCCAGUGAUGGCUUAUUGAGAGGGAGCUCUCCAGACUGGUGUAUCGACUUGGGUAGUGACCCGAGCUCGGUUCGGUAGGGACAAGCAGAUCUGCAGUUGUUCUCAUGAUCAUGAUGAGGAUAUGUGCGAUGGAGAAGGAAUGUUUAACUGUCAAGUAUUAAUUGCAGCACCAAUAAACUCGAUGACUAAUUCGAACUUUUGGAGUUAUCGAACGUGGCUGACACAUGGACUAUGAGUGCCACAGGAUACGAUCAUCUGGUGAUUGAUUAGCCAACACUUUUAUUGCCGACCACGUGUGCCGCUCAGAACGACCUGCACUAGGAUCUGCCGGAUCCGGCGUGAGACGUCGUCGACGUGGGGACGGACGUACGGGUCCAUCCUCUCAGAUCGCCAUCGCGGCCGUGCGUCCGCCAGUCUGGCGUCUUCCCCCUCCUCGUCUCUAGCGCACCUAAUAGCGAUAUCCGCCGUCGAUCUACGGAUCAUCCGUCGACCACGAAUCCACGAUCAGAAUAUUCCUAAGAUUUGAUUUCGAAAUCUAUAAAUGCUAAAAUGAUGAUAUUUGUAGUAAAUAAUAUCUACGGCUGGAAGGCAACACUGUACUUGAUUGGGGCAUUACCAACGUGCACAGUGACCGACGUAUCGAGGACACCUUAUCGAGGCAUACGGCGACUCCACGAGUGCGUGCAAGCUUUUACAGCACGAUCGAGUUCAUACCGGUGCGUGUAAUAAAUCGGCACGGGAAGCCUGAGAUCGUUAAAUUGCUGCCGCGUGCGAAGAGAUGGUUGGAUAGAGGACAAGAAUUAGAGCAUGCAGAGGUCUCAUAUUACAUUAGAAAUCGUAGUGGUAAGAAGGAUUCCAAGUGCACGGAGAUUAUGAGAGGUGGUUGAGGGCGUGCCGUGAUGCAUGGGAUGAUGGGAGAAUUGUUUCGGGGAUCUGUGUGACAUGGGAAGUCUAGAACAAGUCGCCGGAUUCCAAAACAAACAAAAGAGCCACAGGAGCCGAUUUUAACGUGACCGAUCACAUGCCAAACGCCAUCGCCGCUAACCGCAGUUACACCUUUUGCUCCUCUCCCUCCCCUCUCUAAGUAGUAGUAGACCCGCUCCACAGCGGCUCAUUGCGUACCCACACACUCGCUCUAGAUUUCUCUUCGGCUCUCUCCCUCUCCUCUGCUCUUGUGACAACCCCCUUGUAUCUGUUCUUAAGGUGUGGGGAGUUGGCGUUGCAGUUGUUGUUGUUCUGCAGUUUGUUUGUUGUUGCGGUAGGGAAGCUUCGGAGGCAGCUGCGAUGGAGGUCUGCAGUGUGGGAAUGAAGGCGAACGUGUGUUUCGGCCAAGUGAAGAGGAGAAGCGUUGGUAGUGGGGAGAGUGGGAUUUGGGGAGAAGGGAUUGGUGGUGGUGGUGGUGGUCUAAAAAUUAAGGUGUGGGAAACCAAGGUGGUAAAGGGUGUGAAGAGGAGGAACUCGUUGGGAGCUGCAGUCGCUGUUCUCACUUCAGAUGUCAGCGAGGAGACGAUGGUGAGCGAUUUCUUGUUUCUGGUAUCCUCAUUUCCUGUCACUUCCGCUUCUAAUCGAUUCUGUCAUCGCUCCAGGUUUUGCAUGCACCGAUGUUUGGUUACCGGACGGCAGAGCCCAAGAGCGUUGCAUCCAUAAUACUGGGUGGAGGGGCAGGCACUCAGCUCUUCCCUCUCACUAGUACAAGAGCCACGCCUGCAGUAAGAAUCAAGCUUCCAUGUCUCUCUCAUGACUGCUUUCUUAUUGAUUUGAAUUGUUGUGCUGGAAUUCAAGUUCCUUAAACAUUGGGAUUUCUCUUCGAGAGCUGCCCCAUGUCUUUGCAGUUCUCGACUUUAGCUACGGUUCAUCCGGAUCAUGCUUGUUUCAAGGUUUCUGAGCCUCUCUCUUUGAUGCAAACAUGAAAUGAAUGCAUGAUUUUUCACCUGUAGGUUCCCAUCGGUGGAUGCUACAGGCUUAUUGACAUUCCAAUGAGCAACUGCAUCAACAGCGGGAUAAACAAGAUCUUCAUAAUGACGCAGUUCAAUUCGGCUUCACUGAAUCGCCACAUUUCUCGUACAUAUAUCUUCGGGAAUGGAAUCAACUUUGGUGAUGGAUUCGUCGAGGUAACAUUCUUGAACUGGUAUCCACCACUCUGUUUGCCAAUCUACACCGCAAUUUUGUUUGAUUCUUUUGUCGACCGGACUCAUUAGAAGCUUAUAGCAAGCAGGUUUUAGCAGCCACACAGACGCCUGGAGAGGCUGGGAUGAACUGGUUUCAGGGUACAGCAGAUGCCGUCAGGCAAUUCACUUGGGUAUUUGAGGUGAGCAAUCUGAUUCGGCAAACGAUAUAUUCAAUCAGUCGUAAUAAUUAUUCAUGUGGAGUUCUUUAUGAUGCACGAAACUUGGGAAUUAUGUUGAACUCUGGUCUCGCAUUUUCGUUCAGGAUAACAGGAACAAGAACAUCGAGCACAUAGUGAUAUUGUCCGGUGACCAGCUUUACCGCAUGGACUAUAUGGACCUCGUGCAGGCAAGUCUGAGCUCACACCAUGAAUUCUUUCAAGCCUCCUUUAGGAUUUCGAUUGCUUAGAUGAUGAUGCCUUGCAAUAUGCAGAAACAUAUCGAUACUGGUGCUGACAUAACAGUGUCAUGUGUGCCCGUCGGUCACAGGUAGAUCCCCUUUUUUUUCUGUCCUUUGUCUGCAGUAUUUUGUUUACAUAUGCGCUUGAGCAGGAAUUGUGCGGAUUCUUUCGGUACUGAUCGGUGUUUUGUUGUCUAAAAGCCGAGCAUCUGACUACGGACUAGUGAAGAUCGACAAGACGGGCCGCAUUUUCCAAUUUUCUGAGAAACCAAAUGGUGCAGAAUUGGAAGCAAUGGUGAAAUUAUUUGUUCUUGAGUAAUUUGAUGGAUAUCUGCCAUGAAAUAACCCACUGUAAGGGAAAAAAACAUUUGAUGAUCUGCAGAAGGAUGGCGGAAGCUUUCUCAGAUUGUCUCGUCAAGAUGCCAUGAAGUACCCGUACAUUGCAUCCAUGGGAGUCUAUGUAUUCAAACGAGAUGUUCUUUCCAAGCUUCUACGGUAAGAGACUCUCGAUCUCGUUCUCCGGUUGCGUCUUCCGCAUCUUUAUUCUUUGUCUUCUCUCCUUAGGUGGAAGUACCCGAAAGCAAAUGACUUCGGAUCGGAGAUCCUUCCUUCUGUUGUCAAGGAGCACAAUGUUCAGGUAACAGAGAAUGUUUGUAAGCACACUCUGCUCGUAGUUUAGAUAGAGGGGCUGAUGGAUCUCAGCAACUUGGCAGGCAUAUAUAUUCAAUGAUUACUGGGAAGACAUCGGAACAAUUAGAUCCUUCUUCGAUGCCAAUUUGGCUUUGACAGAACAGGUUGGUAUUAGCUUUCGCAGAACGCAUGCAAACUUCAUGCUGAAGAUAUCAUCUGAACUUUUUGUGCAGCCACCAAAGUUUCAGUUCUACGAUCCGAUGACUCCUUUCUUUACAUCUCCUCGAUUUCUACCUCCGACAAAGAUCGAAAAGUGCAGGGUAUGCCGUCAUGAACACUCACUUUGGCCUCACUGUCAUCGAAUUCCUUGGGCAUCAUGAACUAAAAGUUCAUACGCACAGAUUGUGGACGCAAUCAUCUCACAUGGAUGCUUCUUGCGGGAGUGCAGCGUGGAGCGUUCCAUUGUUGGAGUACGCUCACGUUUAGAUUUCGAUGCAGAGUUGAAGGUUUGCAUCGCUCUCCUCGUUUGAUAGAAUCGUGGAUUUGUGCUAAUUUCCGAAGGGCACCGUAGGAUACGAUGAUGAUGGGUGCUGAUAUCUACGAGACCGAAGCUGAAAUAGCAUCUUUGCUGGCGGAUGACAAGGUUCCGAUUGGUGUCGGACAGAACACCAGGAUCAGGUGAGACCUCGCGGUCAAACUCUUUUUGGCAAGAGCUUGGUCAACUCUAAGGUUCUUCUUUGAUUGAUGUCCAGGAACUGCAUCAUCGACAUGAAUGCGAGGAUAGGGAAGAAUGUGGUGAUAGCGAACAAGGAUGUAGGCACUCCACUGCAUCUGACAUGCUUGCAGAUGGAUUCUUUUCCCAUGCUAACUUGCAGAAAAAAUUCCUUUUGUUGCAGGGGAUUCAGGAAGCAGAUAGGCCAUGCGAGGGCUUCUACAUACGAUCUGGGAUCACAAUAAUCAUGAAGAAUUCUACCAUCAAGGAUGGAACAGUGAUAUAGAAUGAUAGAUUUGAGGUGUAAUAUGAAGAAUACAUAGAGGAGAGGAUGCUACGGCCAGAAUGGUAACCCAUGCUGUCAGGAUGGAACUACUCGGCUGAUACUACUGUCUCCAUGAUGUCUCUUGCGUUUUGCUAAUAACAAGCUGCAAUGAUGCAGCUGCGUCCUUGUAUGUAAUCAGUACGUUCUUAUAUCAUUUCAUCAGCAUCAUGCUCCUCUGUUCUGUAAAUAAAAUGAUCUCUAGAUAACCUAUGUUUGGUCUCAUUAAUUAGUAUCAAUGUGAUUCCACUGUUGCAUCUUGUUGAACAAUCUUCUUCUUCUUCUUCUUCUUCCAAUUUGUUGGUAUGAAAUGUGAUUACAAGCUUGAGGAGGGACACAAAAUCCAUCUACAUGCUGGCUGAAACCAGCAGUCAUCUUCUAGCUCAGUGUCCUGCGUCCUUUCUCUUGUUUGCAGCCUUCUAGUGUUUGCCUUUCAUGGCCUUUGCCCUCUUCAGCUUCGCAAUGGUUCGAAGUUUGUGAGACUGGAGGGUGAUCACUCUUGUCGUGGAUGGUGAUUCACCUAGAAUGACUUCAUAGCCAUCUCUGUAUGAAUCCAUCCCUUGAGCCAGCAGCUGCCAGAACAAGCUACCUGCGGUUGCACCACCAGUUCUAGCCGACAAAUAUACUUUGGAGUACACUGUUCUGAACAUUGCAUCCCUUUCGUCAUUGCUGAAGCCGGGAUCCUUGCAAGACUUUCCGAACUCAGUCACCAGCAAUGGCUUCUGAAGAACGUCGCACGCGUCGUGGAGGUGGAUAUCUAGCCAGUUCUUCAAGAAAGAAAGCUGCGAUCGAUCGUUCGAAUCGGGUAUCCUGUUCAUGUAAUACAAGAUCCAUCAGUGAAGAGAUGGAGGAUAUCGUAUGAAUUGGCACUGAUGUGAUGAUCGUAGUCGUUGUUACCAUUGGUCAGGGUAAGAAUGAACGGUGGCAAAAUCGAUUCCUGGAAUCUGGUUAUUGGAGAUGAAAUCAGUUCCAACUUGAAAGCCGGGGUUGGAUUGUUUCUGAGGUGAUGAUUCACCAUAGAACCCCUCGAGACCAGCUUCCAGCAAGUGCUUGUUGUCUAUGGAUUUCAGGUAGGCAGCCAUCUCUGUGAUCCAUUCCUAGGCAACAAUCAAAAUGAACGAAUCAGCUAUCAAUGUAAAACACUACUACCAAAUAGCAUAAUCCUUGAUGAGGAUUGGCCCCAAAAGCUUGUAGUUUCUGGAAACCUGUAUGCUCUUCCCUGACAAAUCUGAGGGGCAUCUGGGCUCAUUCAUGAGUUCCCAAGCAAAGAUUGUUGGAUCAUCCUUGUAGGCAACUCCAGUUAUGGUGUUGACUCUUGUGACAACAGUCUACAGAAUAAGAAGAAACACUUCACAAAUGCUAGCUUUGAUACAACAAGUGGUACAAAGGGUAGUUUCUUUUACUGUGUUCUUCCAUGUUGUUCAUAUGGAUUGGUCAUUUCUCUUACUGUUUCCUGUUGGAUUUGUCCAAUAAGAUCUCUUCUUUUCAGUUUGGCUCGAGAUUAAAAGUUAUGUUAGGAGAUAAAAACUGUGAUUGUUGGUAAAUUGCAGUGAUGACAAAGAAUUAGAGGCAAGGAAGAACACAAAAUGAUAUUGACAGGUAAAAGUAAUUCAUCAUAUGACCUUGAUAUGACUUUUGUAGUAACCUUUGACAACAGGGUUGGUGAAGAAUUCAUCAUCAGAUCCAAUGUUCUCCCCCUGAUCUCUUGCCCAUUGGACAUACUGCUUCUUCCCUCCAAAGCUAUCGUAGUUGUUAACCAAGCUCAAUAUGAGCUUGAUGCCAUAAUUUCUUGCCUCAGACACCACAAAAUCCAACCCCUUGACCAGAAGAAAAGAGAGAGAAAGAGAAUUCAGAAAUCAAAUAAGAACUGGCAAAAGCCCACAAAGACAAAUGAAGAUAAAAGGAAGGCAGUAUGAGACCUGAAAGAUCUGUUCACUGUAAGCUCCUGGGGAGUUCUGCAAGGCAUUGCUCCCUCCAUCGCUGAAAGCCCAAGUCCUGGCCACAGAGAGGCCAUGCCUGGAGGCAUCACUCAGAGCAGAGGAGACCUUGUCUCUUCGAGAAGGAUCUGAGGCCAGGGUCAUCAUCCAGUAGGCAUUGAAGCCAUUUGCAAAGAAUGGGUUCCCAUUGAGAACAAAAUGUAGCCCCCUUGUCUCAAUGAACCCUCCUGCAGCCUCAACACCAUGAUGUGAACCCAACAGCAGAAGCAGAAUGACAGAUAAAAGCCUCAGCUUCCUCAUAUCUCUCUUCUUCCCGCUGCUUCUCCCUCCCUUGAGAUGGCAAUGCAGGUAGAGGAAGCCCUGAUUGGAAGGUAGAAGUUGCAGCUGGUGCAGAGCACCCAAAGGAUAACCUGAGCACACCCAACAAGGGUUAGGUUUGUCAGGCCUCCAUGUGACGUACCUCGUAAAGUACUGUGAUGGUCAUUUGCACCUUGACGAAUGUACUGAACUCAACACAAACCAUGCAAUUUGCGUUGGCUUGGCAUGUUUGUAUUUACAAGAUUUACUGUGUCAGCUAAAUGAAAUCGCCGAUGACAUUCCUGUGUUUGUUACUUUUGUUUCUAUCGUAAGCGACGUAUGUUCUUUUAUGAUUCGUUGCUUCUCACUGGGGUUUGAGCACCUUUGCACGAAGCAGAACCUUUGCUUUCUUAGAUCUGCUGAUGAACUACUAAGGAAUCAGGAGACCUGUGAUCUACUGCACUUCUCCGGAUUCCUGGAACACAAAUUAAAAGAACGUUGGUUGAGCUGCAGAAGCGCAGGACGACCACGAGAAGGAAAUGGGUGUAAAGGUCAAUUGGACUCACAGAUGAGUAUUUGGACACGGAGGUUCUCUUAUAAUACCCAACUAAGUUGAUCGGAAGCUGCACAGCAACCAUCCCAUUCAUCGGAUCACCGUGUACGUGCACGUGGGAAGCACGUGACUUCCAAGAAAGCACGGCCAAUGAGCGAUGGUUCCGCAGGGUUAGCUUCGAGAUGCGUGUGAAUGCUUGAUAUGCGUCAGCCGCAGGAUUGAUGUCUUCCUCCCUUCGUCUCUUCGCCGCAAGUGGGCGACGGCCCGAGCUUCAACGGUUCGAUCGAACAGGCUUCCGUUUCCGGUCAGAUCUCCACCAAUAAGAACCAUUAAUCACCCAUCAACCUGCCUCGUGGGACCCGGGUGGAGCCCGCGAGGCCAUAUUACUGCCAUUGCACGUGAUGUGUUCGACCCGUGACCGCGCACAUGUAUCUCUGGGCCUCCGAAGCAGACUGCGGCGGACAUGUUCGACGGUAAAAGAUCACACGAGUUGCCCGUCGAGGCUUUCACAAGGCUCGUAUUUGGUCACCAUAGCCGAGGUAUCUCGGAAGACCUUCAUGCUGUCUCCAAUGUUCUUUCGCCUUCACUUCCACCUGCCCAACCUACAACAAAACGAUGAGAUAAGACAAGGAUAACCAGAGGAAGAGACACAAGGCUCUCCCUCCUCCUCAUCCUCGUCGCUGGGAAGGCCAUUCCUUCGGCUGUGUUCAAGAGACUGAGCAAAACCUUGCAACCGAAGGCUGAAUGAAGUGGGCCUCGAAGACUCAAGGUGCAAGAGGCGAAACGAGGAGGAAAGACGACAACGGAGCGACGCGGAGUGUCGAAUCCAGCUCCAAUUCCCCAGACAUGAUAUUAACUUGAUAUCAAAAUUCUUUUUAUCAAAAUGGGUUCUCAUCGAAAACUUGAUAUCAAAAUAUAAAUAUCAAGUAGCAUAAACAGUAGAACAAUAAAUCGAUCACACAAUAAAAUCAAAUCUUUUAAUAUAAAAAAUCCAAUGUGAGAAAAAUCACGAAACCAUAGUCAUCUCAAACUUUAACUAUCAAUAAUAAUGAUAACAGGUUUAUAAUAAAUCUUCUCUAGAAUAACUAGAGGAUCACAAUAACAUCAAGAACAUAGAUCUUGGCUCAAGAAUAAUAUAUCAUCAUCACAUAGGAUGGAUCUGAGAAUUCUAGGUCUCACAAAGUGGAUAUAGCAGGAAAGUACCUUAGAGAGGGUAAACCAUAGAUCAAUACCAUUAGGAUUAUAGAGCUUACUAUAAGAAUUCUCCGUAUAAAAUUUGGGCUAAAAUUGACAAUGUUUGACCACCGUUUGUCAAACAAAAAACUCAAUAUCUUAAUCUUUCUCUCUCCUUUUUCUCUCUUUCCUUUCUCUCUAUACUUUUUCCAACUGUAAUUCUUUCAUCUCAGGCACAUCACGAAUCCAGUGAUAUCUCACAUCAAUAUGCUUGAUCUAAAAUGAUAUAUUGAAUUCUUAGAGAUGUGAAUGAUGACUGUUAUAGUAAACAGUAUAUCCUUCUUAUUUCAAGCUCAAUUCAUGUAGAAAUUUUUUCAUCCAUAAAACUUCCUUGCAUUCUUCAGUAAUUGUUAUGUAUUUUGCUUUUGUGGUUGAUAGAGCAACACCAUUCUGUAACUUUGAUUGCCAAGAGACUACUCCCCCUACAAAUGUCAUCAAGAAUCCCGAAGUGGACUUCUUGGAAUCAGUGUUACCUGUCAUGUCUACAUCUGUGUAGCCUUCUAACAUAGGUUCAUCAUUGUUAAAACAUAAACACAACCUGGAAGUACCUCUUAGAUAUCUUAAUAUCCAUUUCACUACUGCCCAAUAUUCCUUUCCAGGAUUAGAGAGAAAUCGGCUAACAAUUCCAACUGCAUGAGCUAUAUCUGACCUUGUACAAACCAUAGCAUACAUCAAACUGCCUACUAUAGACGAGUAAGGCACUCUGGAUAUUUCUUCUUUUUUUUCUCACUUGUAUGAUAUUGUUUCGAACUAAGCUUGAAAUGACAUGCAAGUGGAGAACAAACUGCUUUGGCUUUACACAUGUUGAAUAUUUCAAGAACCUUUUCAAUAUAAGUCUCUUGAGAUAGCUAAAUCUUUCUUUUCUUUCUAUCACGAAGAAUCUUCAUGUCAAGUAUUUGUUUCACCGAUCCCAAGUCUUUCAUGGCAAAAGACUUACUUAGCUCUCUUUUAAACUUUUUAAUUUUUUCAGUAUUAUAGCCAACAAUCAGCAUGUCAUCAACAUAUAGCAGUAAAAUAAUAAAAUCAUCAUAUGAAAAUUUUUUCAUAAACACACAAUGAUCAGAUGUGGUUCUAUCAUACCCUUGGCUCAUCAUAAAGAAAUCAAACUUCUUGUACCACUAUCUAGGUGCUGUUUGAAUCCAUAUAAGCUUUUCCUAAACUUACACACCAGAUUUUUUUUUCUCUUGAGUUUGAAACCUUCUAGUUGUUUCAUGGAAAUUUCUUCUUCUAAGUCACCAUGAAGAAAUACUAUUUUCGCAUCAAGUUGCUCAACUUCUAAAUUCAAGCGAGCAACCAAACUAAGAACAACUCGGAUAGAGGACAUUUUCACUAUAGGAGAAAAUAUUUCUUUAAAGUUAAUACAUUUCUUUUGACUGAAUCCUUUCACAACUAGUCGUACCUUGUAUCUUUGUUGUGAGUUAUUAUUUUCAGAUUUUAAUUGAUUAACCCACUUAUUCUUGAGAGUUUUCUUCUCUUUAGGCAACUUUACCAAGUCAUAGGUAUGGUUCUCAAGCAAGGAUCUCAUCUCUUCUUACAUGGCUUUAACCCAUUCAUUCUUAUGCUAAUGUAAAAUAGUUUUUUGGUAAGUUUCUUGCUUUCCCCCAUCAGUAAGCAUAACAUACUUAUGUGGAGGAUAUCUGGUAGAUGGUUGUUGCUCUCUAGUGGAUCUUCUCAAUAGAAUCUCAACUAGUGGUGGAUGUGUUUGUUCAGUUGGUUCAGCAUUAUCAACUAUAGGAGUAUCAUCACUUACAUUCUCACUACAAUCUUCUUGUUCAUCUCCUCCAUGAUCAUCAUGAACUAUAGUUGAAGGAACUGGACCCAAACUCUAAGGAACAUAAAUAGAGGUUUUUGGCUUCUCAACAUUAUCACCAUCAUCAAACAAUUGGUCUUCAAGAAAUAUAACAUCUCUGCUUCUAAUAAUCUUCUUAUUCAUUAGAUUCUAUAAUCUGUACCUAAACUCUUUAUGACCAUAUCCCAAGAAGAUAUAUGCUUUUGCCUUAUUAUCAAGCUUGGACAUCUCAUAUUUGGGAAUAUGAACAAAUGCUUUAUACCAAAAGACUCUCAAGUGAUUAUAAGAUAUAUCUUUUCCUUUCCAUACUUUCUCUGGAACAUCCUCUCUUUGGAACAUCACCUUUCAAAGUAAUUGAUAGAAAAAGAUUUAUCAGGUCAAUUGUAGUUCUCAUAGCCUCCCCCCAAAAUGACUUAGGUAACUUGGCAUGAGAAAGCAUAUACCUAAUAUUUUCUUCAAUUGUUCUGUUUAUCUUUUCUGCGACACCGUUUUACUGAGGAGUUUUAGGAACUAUUUUCUCAAGCCUAAUACCUUGGAACCUACAAUAAUUCUUAAAAGGACCCCUGUACUCACCACUAUUAUCUGAUCGAACAUACUUUAGCUUUCUGCUAGUUUCUCUUUCAACACUGUAAUGAAACUCCUUAAAAACAUCGAGUACUUAAUCUUUAAAUUUCAAAGUAAAAGCCCACACUUUUCUAGAAUGAUUAUCAAUAAAAAUAACAAAUAAAAAGCACAUCCAAGAAUUCUAGUUUGCAUAGUACAAAUAUCAGUAUGAACUAAAUCAAUAACAUAUGAUCUUCUAGAUGAUGAAUAUGUAUGAAAUGCAACUCUAUGUGUUUUUCCAACUAAGCAAUGAUCACAAGAUUUAAGAUAUGUACCUUGCAACUCUGGUAAGAACUGCUUUCUAGCAAGAGUUUGAAGUCUCUUCUCGCUGAUAUGACCAAGCCUCUUAUGCCAAAGAUCUAUACUUUCACAUUUUUUAAUUACAUUAAUCUUUCCUUUAUGUAGCUUAGCUUCUAUGACAUAAAAAGAGUUAAGCUUCUUUCCUCUUGUUAUAAUUAGAGAACCUUUAGUAAGUUUCUAUUUGCUUUCAUCAAAAUAAUGCGCAAAGCCCUCAUCAUCAAGUCUGCCUGUAGAUAUCAAGUUAAGACGAAUAUUUGGAACAUAUCUGACAUCUUUGAGUAUUAAUUUGCUUCCAAUACUGGUCUUCAAGCAAAUAUCUCUACUACCCACAAUCUUAAAUGUACCACUGUUUCCCAUUCUGACAUUACCAAAAUCACUAGUAGUGUAAGAUCUGAAGAAAUCACCAUGAGAAGUAACAUGAAAUGAAGCACUAGAGUCAAUUAUCCAGUCACUGUCCUGAGCUGCAAGACUGAUACAACCAUUAUCAUAAACAAUAGUGAUAUUACCUUUAGUAGCAACUGUAUUAGUUUCUUUCUCAUUUUUCUUCAUUUCAUUCUGUUAUCGUUUCCAAAACCUACACUCUUUCUUCAUGUGACCUGGUAUAUUAUAGUAAAAACAUUUGAUAUCUCUUCUAGACUUGGAUCUUCCUCUAAAACCAUGUGGAUUUCUGCUAUGACUUCUUCCACGUCUUUCUUGUUUUUCAGUAACAAAUGCACCAGAAGAAGAUUCACCAUGUUUUUUCCUUCUGGCAUCUUCAUUUAGCAAAUUGUCUUUAACCAUAUCUAUAGUUAGAGUCUUCUCUGGCAUAGAGUUACAAAUUGUCACCACAUACGUUUUCCAACUUUCUGGUAAAGAGCUAAGAAAUAAUAAUCCUUGCAUCUCAUUAUCUAUAUUCAUUUUCAUAGUAACCAGCUUAUUUGCAAGACCCUGAAAUAGGCUUAUAUGCUCAACAAUAUUAUCAUCAUCUUUAUACUUCAAAUUCACAAGCCUUCUAAGGAGAGAAAUUCUAUUUCCCACUAUCUUUUUCGUAAAGAGAUUUUCUAACCUUUGCCAAACAACAUCAGCUCUGGUUUUAUCAGAAAUAUGCUCAUGCAAGUUUAUAUUCAUCCAUCUUCUAAUAUAAACAAUAGUUUUUCUAUGUUAAAUUUCUUAUUCUUCAUCGUCCAAGGUUUAUCUUUAACUUUGAUAGGCUUAUACAAAUCUUUGUAAUAAAGCAGAUCUUCAAUCAUACGCCUCUAAGUGGAAUAAUUUGAUUAGUUCAAUUUAAUCAUACCAUCUGACUGCUAUAUUUCAAUCACGCAAGAAAAACUAGCAUCAAAACACCUGUUGCUCUAAUACCACUUGUUAGGAAAAACCUGUUAAAACGGAAUAAUUUUUUUCCCUCUUUGUGUAACAAAAUGGGUUCCUCAUCAAAAUACCAACUUAUCGAAAUGUAAAUAUCAACCAGAGCAGUAUAAACAGUAGAGCAAUAAAUCAAUCACACAGUGAGACUAAAUCUUUUAACGUGAAAAACCCAAUGUAGAAAAAACCAAGGGACCGUAGUCCACCUCAAACUUCCACUAUCAAUAAUAAUGAUAACAGAUUUAUAAUAAAUCUUCUCUAGAAUAAUUAGAGGAUCAUAAUAAUAUUAAGAACAUAGAUCUUGGUUUAAGAAUAGCAUAUCAUCAUAGGAUGGAUCUGAGAAUUCUAGGUCUCACAAAGUGGAUACAGCAGGAAAGUACCUCAGAGAGGAUAAAUCGUAGAUCAAAACAGUUAGGAUUGUAGAGCUUACUGUAAGGAUUCUUCGUAUAAAAUUUGGGUCAAAACUGAUAAAACUGAUAAUGUUUAGCUACUGAUCGUUAAGCAGAAAACUGUUUUGUCUUUCUCUCUCUCAGUGCGACUGCUCGCGUUCACUGUACAUACUCGUUGAUCUCUUAUUUGCUAUCCUAUAUCUCUUUUGUCUUUUAAUUAGUGAUUUAGGCUCAAAAAACCUAAUUCAAUUGUCCAAGCCCACGUAUGGGCAAGACCCAACAGACCACGGAGGAGACGAGUAAAUACAAUAACGAAGAUCAGGGAGGGAGCAAGGAUAAGAGGUGGCGGUGUUACCGGGUCGAAUCCAUAAAGGUUCAUCCGGAUCCGAUAUAUUACAACAAUGAAGUCGCGGAUUCGUUAUGUUAUCGGGUCGGAUCGGGUCCAUCAAAUUCUAACCCAACACGUAGCUUUUCUUUUUUUGUGGAAAAGAAAUCAUAAAAAUAUCACGAUAUUUUUCCUUCUUUGUUAUGAUCACAACAAUAAGCAUUACAAAUCAACGAGAGACAGCAACACCCGAAUGCAUCAAAGCUGCUACUUGAAGUAGAUCGCAGGCGCGUCGGAGUUGGGAUGCCACGUACCGGCCUCCCUCAUGUACUCCAAGUAUCGCAAGAACUCCGGCGUGGCUGUUGCCUUCUUCGGUGGCUUCUCCAUGAUUCUGAUGACCGGGUGCGCCUUUAUUUCCCUGGUGGUGUUCGAUCUCUUCAUUUCGCUCACCGUCGCCGCCGCCGCCGUCGUCGUCGCUUCGUCGCCCUCGGCCAGGUCGAACGAGGACUGCCGGGACAGCAGGCGGCGGUAGCCUCGCCGGCUCCUCCGACGACCCGAGGCGUCCGACAUGGCUGCUGCAGGAGGGAGGUCGUGGUCUUGCUUGCUUGCUUGUUCUUCGGGGGUUGGGAGAGCUUUAAAGCAUGGGAUAUGGCUGAGGAGGUGGGUGGGGAGUUUAAAGCAUAUCCAAUCGAUGAGUUGCAGGUGGGGCGUCUCAGUCAGGAACGCUUCCUUGAAACCCCCCUUUGGAUGAGGUAGUCUGACUUGGUGUGCUCGACCUUUUGACCAUGCCUCGCCAUGGCGGCCAUCUUCCUCUCCUGGACGACAAAGUCAACCGAAGUAGACACAGCUUUACUGUACAGGGCAAGUAUAAAGACAAACUGAUGUGGUCUCACAUUUUUAUUCCUUUUGCUUUUAGUAGAAGAUAUGCUUUGACUCCAUGGAUGAUUUCUCACUGGGUUGUCUGUUUCUUCCUCCUCUGCCAUUGUAGCUUAGCUGCCAGGAAAUCAUGGAUGAUUUCUUUGGCUGGGUCUUUGAAGCACCAACCCCCCAACUGUUGCCAAUAUCUUUUUCAACCUAUUGCCAUUUGACCAAUCGACAAAUUUGGCUCUACUUUUGAUGAUGCAGUGCAAAAUAAGAGGCUUAGCGGUUGCUUCUUUAGCAGCUGAGCUGUGAAAAUGACUUCUGCUGCGUAAGUCUGCAUGCUGAAUCGUUCUUUAGUUUACACCUUUAUCCCUGAUCAGAAUAGGUCUACCAUUUUAGAGAGAUGUGGUACAAACUUCAUGACCAUGUCCUUACAAGAACGUCUUUUUCUCUGCAGUCAUUGGGAGCUUGAAAGACUUAGUGCUAAGUUGAAUAUGUUCCAAGCUUCUUAAUACUCUCAUACAUUAGUUUUGGAUGUUUAACGAACAUAGGAAAAAUUUAAUUAAUAAUGAGGCUAAAUUGUAAGUUUUCGUAUCGAGAAAAUCAAGCUUGUUAUCUCCUAUUGUAACUAUAAAUAAGGGCUUGGGCUUUGAAGCUAGAUACACCACAAGAAAAACUAAUUAUUUACUUUGAAUUUAAUUUAUAUUAAGUUCACACUGAGUUAAAAUAAUUUUAGCUUUUCUUGUUUAGUAGUUUCAGAUGUUUUAUGGCCUAGGAACAUUUUUCUAAUGCAUUUGUAAUUGUACCUUUUAUAGUAGAGUUUUGCUCUUCCGUCCGUGGACGUAGGUCAAUUGACCAAACCACGUAAAUCUGAUAUCCUUGUUUCUUUUAUUUUUUUGCUUUAUUGUAUUUAUUGGGUUGCCAAAUUAUUCUUUGGUAAAUUUUUUAGGGUCAGAUCUAACAAACUGGUAUCAGAGCCUGGUUUCGGGAUCUUUUGGCAACGAUGAGAAAUUCGAUAGAAAUAUCAACUUUGGUAUGUGACAGCUCAAGAUGGAAGCCAUUCUAGUUCAAGACGGAGUUGAUUUGGCACUAUAAAAAACUGAGAACAUUCCAGAUGAUACGUCAAAGGAAGAUCUUGUAGGUAUGGAUAAAAAGGUCUUAUCAAGCAUUAUUCUAAAUCUCUCUGACGAGGUUUUACAAGAGGUAACUACGGAGACUACGACUAAGAACAUAUGGGACAAGCUUAAAGCCUUGUAUAUGAAGAGGAUAGUAGAGAAUCGUCUCUACCUGAAGCAGAGUUUGUAUAUGCUUCGGAUGACUGAAGGUACAUCUAUACUCUCACAUUUUGAUAAAUUUGAUUCCUUAGUUAUGGAUUUGGAGAUUAUAGAUGCAAAAAUUGAUGACGCGGAUAAAAAUAAUAUUUUUCUAACCUUUAGACAAUGGAAGGCUUUGAUUGAGAAGCAAACAGGUAAACAAAUUAAACAGCUUCGAACAGAUAAUGGUAUGAAAUUUUGUGAAUGUGACUUUGAUGAAUUCUGCAAAAAUAAAGGAAUUGUUCGGCAUCGUACUGUUAGCAUAACACCUCAGCAAAAUAGUGUGACCGAAUAUAUGAUCAGAACACUCUUAGAGAGAGCAAGGUGUAUGAUCUCAAAAUUUUUGCAUCAAUUUUCGCAUAUAUAUUCUCCAAAUUUAUAACUAAGGAAUCAAAUUUAUCAAGAUGUGAGAGUAUAGAUGUAACUUUAAUCAUCCGAAGUAUAUACAAACUCUACUUUAAGUAGAGACGAUUCUCCAUUGUCCUCUUUAUAUACAAGGUUUUAAGCUUGUCUCACAUGCUCUUAGCCGUAGUCUCCGUAGCUACCUCCCGUAAAACCUCGUCAGAGAGAUUUAGAAUAAUGCUUGAACGGGCCUUCUUAUCUAUACCCGUAAGAUCUUCCUUUGAUGCAUAAUCUGGAAUGUUCUCAGCUUGUUGUAGUGUCAAAUCAACUCCGUCUUGAACUAGAAUGACCUCCAUCUUGAGCUGCUACAUGCCAAAAUUAACAUUUCUGUCGAAUUUCUCGACAACAAUCUUUGUUAUUGUCAUCGUUACCAAAAGAUCUCGAAACCAAGCUCUGAUACCAGUUUGUUAGAGCUGGCCCCAAGAAAUUUACCAAAGGAUAAUUUGACAACCUAAUAAAGACAAUAAAGCAGAAAAAUAAAAGAGACAAGGACACUGGAUUUACAUGGUUCGGUCAAUUGACCUACGUCCACGGACAGAGGAGCAAAACUCUACUAUAAAAGGGACAAUUACAAAUACCUUAGAAAAAUGUUCCUAGGUCAUAAAACACCUGAAACUACUAAACAGGAAAAGCCUAAAUUAUAAACCCAAACUAUUUUAACUAAGUGUGGACUUAAUAUAAAUUAAACCCAAAGCAAACAAUUAGGUUUUUCUUAUAGUGCAUCUGACUUCAAAGCCCAUGCCCUUAUUUAUAAUUACAAUAGGAGAUAACAAGCUUGAUUUUUUCGAUGUGGGACUAUAUCACCAUAAUAGUAAUAAGUAUUUAUCAAAUCAUUGGUAUCUCUCGGGUCACAUUUUGUUUAAAUAAGAAAAAGUAUACGUGAAAAUUAGGAUCGAUUUUACGUAAUGCCAAAAGAAAAUUAGGAUCGAUUUUACGUAAUACUAGAGGAAUCAUUACCGCAUGGCAUAGAGGGGGAGGUCAUAAGUGUCUAUAACGUAAAAUCGAUUUUCAACCUAUUGUUGCCAUUUGACCGAUCGACAUAUUUGGCUCUGCUUUUGAUGAUGCAGUGCAAAAUAAGAGGCUUAGCGGUUGCUUCUUUAGCAGCUGAGCUGUGAAAAUUACUUCUGCUGCAUAAGUCUGCAUGCCGAAUCGUUCUUUAGUUUACGCCUUUAUCCCUGACCAGAAUAGGUCUACCAUUUUAGAGAGAUGUGGUACAAACUUCAUGACCAUGUCCUUACAAGAACGUCUUUUUCUUGGGAGCGCUUGAAAGACUUAGUGCUAAGUUGAAUCUGUUCCAAGCUUCUUAAUACUCUCAUACAUUAGUUUUGGAUGUUUAAUGGACAUAGGAAAGAUUUAAUUAAUAAUGAGGCUAAAUUGCAUGACUAUAUCACCAUAAUAAUGUUAGUUUGACAAGUUUCCUAUUGUAACUAUAAAUAAGGGUCUGGGAUUUGAAGCCAGAUACAUCACAAGAAAAACUAAUUAUUUACUUUGGGUUUAAUUUCUAUUAAAUUCACACUUAGUUAAAAUAGUUUGGACUUUUCUUGUUUAUUAGUUUCAGGUGUUUUAUGACCUAGGAACAUUUUCCUAAGGCAUUUGUAAUUGUUCCUUUUAUAGUAUAGUUUUGCUCCUCCGUUCGUGGACGUAGGUCAAUUGACCGAACCACGUAAAUCUAGUAUCCUUGUUUCUUUUAUUUUUCUGCUUUAUUAUAUUUAUUGGGUUGCCAAAUUAUUCUUUGAUAAAUUUUCUAGGGUCAGUUCUAACAAAUUGGUAACAAAGCCUGAUUUUGGGAUCUUUUGGCAAUGAUAAGAAAUUCGAUAGAAAUGUCAACUUUGGUAUGUGACAACUCAAGAUGGAGGUCAUUCUAGUUUAAGACAGAGUUGUUUUGACACUACAGAAAACUAAGAACAUUCCAGAUGAUACGUCAAAGGAAGAACUUGCAGGUAUGGAUAAAAAGACCCGAUCCAGCAUUAUUCUAAAUCUCUCUGACGAGAUUUUACAAGAGGUAACUACGGAGACUACGACUAAGAACAUGUGAGAUAAGCUUAAAGCCUUGUAAAUGAAUAGGACAGUGGAGAAUCGUCUCUACUUGAAGCAGAGUUUGUAUAUGCUUCGGAUGACUGAAGGUACAUCUAUACUCUCACAUUUUGAUAAAUUUGAUUCCUUGGUUAUGGAUUUGGAGAAUAUAGAUGCGAAAAUUGAUGACGCGGAUAAAAAUAAUAUUUUUCUAACCUUUAGACAAUGGAAGGCUUUGAUUAAGAAGCAAAUAGGUAAACAGAUUAAGCAGCUUCGAACAGAUAAUAGUAUGAAAUUUUGUGAAGGUGACUUUGAUGAAUUCUGCAAAAAUGAAGGAAUUGUUCGGCAUCGCACUGUUAGGAUGACGCCUCAGCAAAAUAAUGUGGCCGAACAUAUGAACAGAACACUUUUAGAGAGAGUAAGGUGUAUGAUCUCAAAAUUUUUGUAUCAAUUUUCCAUCUAUAUUCUUCAAAUCUAUAACUAAGAAAUCAAAUUUAUCAAGAUGUGAGAGUAUAUAUGUAUCUUCAAUCAUCCGAAGUAUAUACAAACUCUGCUUCAAGUAGAGACGAUUCUCCAUUGUCCUCUUUAUAUACAAGGCUUGAUCGGACCUUCUUAUCUAUACCCGCAAGAUCUUCUUUUGAUGUAUCAUCUGGAAUGUUCUCAGCUUUUUGUAGUGCUGACCUCAGGAAAUUUACCAAAGGAUAAUAUGACAACCCAAUAAAGACAAUAAAGCAGAAAAAUAAAAAAGACAAGGACACCAGAUUUACAUACUUCGAUCAAUUGACCUACGUCCACGGAAAGAGGAGGAUCAAAACUCUACUAUAAAAAGGAUAAUUACAAAUGCCUUAGAAAAAUGUUCCUAGGCCAUAAACUAUAAGCCUAAAUUAUAAGCCUAAACUAUUUUAACUAAUUGUUGUGGUGCAUCUGACUUCAAAGCCUAGGCCCUUAUUUAUAAUUGUAAUAGGAGAUAACAAACUUGAUUUUUCCGAUGUGGGACUAUGUGGGACUAUAUCACUAUAAUAGUAAUAAGUAUUUAUCAAAUCAUUGGUAUCUCUCGGGUCACAUUUUGUUUAAAUAAGGAAAAGUAAACGUGAAAAUUAGGAUCGAUUUUACAUAAUGCCAGAGGAAAAUUAGGAUCGAUUUUACGUAAUGCCAGAGGAAUCAUUACCUCAUGGCAUAGAGGGGGAGGUCAUAAGUGUCUAUACUAUAAAAUCGAUUUUCGACGGAAUGAAAAAGACAUAUCUGGUAGAAUCGUAACCAUAGAAUACGACCCUAAUCGAAAUGCAUACAUUUGUCUCAUACACUAUGGGAUGGUGAGAAGAGAUAUAUUUUACAUCCUAGAGGGUUAUAAUUGGAGAUACCAUUGUUUCUGGUACAGAAGUUCCUAUAUCAAUGGGAAAUGCCCUACCGAGUGUGGUUUGAUUUAUUGAUUUACGUAAUUGGAAGUAACCAAUUAGGUUUACGACGAAACCUAGAAAUCGAUCACUGAUCCAAUUUGAGUACCUCUACGGGAUAGACCUCAACAGAAAACUGUUGAGUAACGGCAGCAAGUGAUUGAGUUCAGUAGUUCCUCAUAGAAAAUUAUUGACUCUAGAGAUAUGGUAAUAUGGAGAAGACAAAAUUGUUUGAAGCACGCACAUAACAUAAGCUACAUGAAGAACAAUGGUAAUUAAGAUCCCCCAUGGGGAAAAGAGAGAUGUCUCCUACGUUACCCGUAAUAUGUGGAAGUAUCGACGUAAUUUCAUAGAGUCAUUCGGUCUGAAUGCUACAUGAAGAACAUAAGCCAGAUGACGGAACGGGGAGACCUAGGAUGUAGAAGAUCACAUGAGUGAUUCAGCAGAUUUGGAUUCCUAUAUAUCCACUCAUGUGGUACUUCAUCAUACGAUUUAUAUAAGAUCCAUCUGUCUAGAUAUCAUCAUGUACAUCUAGAAAGCUAAUGAAUAUGCUUGUGUAGGAAUUGAAGAAUUUCGAAUAUUUAGAAAUCAAUAACCUAAAAAUAUAUCUAUAAAAAAAUUAAAUCUUUUAAUAUGUGAGAUUAAUUAUAAAACCUUAAAUUAUCAUCACUCACUUCCUUAUAAAUUUUCUCAUAUAAAUCCUAAAAAAAUUACACCCUUUCUCUCACCCUAUAGAGAGUACCUUAUCAUAGAGAGAGAAAUAUAAAAGCAUCAAAAGUAUUUUUUAUAUUUUAUGAGAUGUUCAUAUAAGAACACAAUCUUAAUUAUUAAGAUUUUUUUCCUUCACAAGAAAUUCCUUGUAUUAAUUAUCCCAUUGAGAUAUUGACGAAUCCCAACAUUCAUGUGAUACAUAAUUGACCACAUCAAGCUCAAUUCGAACUAAUUUCAUAUGCAUUGCACUAAUAAAAUCAUAUUAACAAAUAUUAUUUAAGAUAAUCAGUUAUAUUAAUAACUAAUUUUAAAAUACUUACAAAUCUCAACACUCAUGUAGAAUAAUAACCUAAAGCAUGGAUACACAAUUGACCAUAUCAAGUUCGAUACAAAUUAAUUUACACUAAUAAAAUCAUAUUAACAAAUCUAAUUUGAACUAAACAAAUAAAUUAGUGAACAUACUAUCCAAAAUGAAAUGAUAACAUAGAACAACACGGAUAUCAAUUUAAGAUAAACAAAGAUAAUCUCAUACCAUCAUCACUUUCUUUGCUUCUACCCCAAAUACAUACAAAUCCUCACGUAAGCGAACUCACGUUAUAAAGGACUACUUAAUCAAAUAAUAAUAAGAUUAAUAUCUUAGCAGAAAACCCCAAUAAACAUGAAAACCCAAUAAACAGACUUCACUGACCUUCUUCUGCUCCUCAACAACAGCAGGCGAAGCGUCGGCGGAGGCAGAAGCACCACCGCCGAGGCCGGCAACAGCGGCUGAGACAGAAGCAGCAACACCACCUCCUCCUGUACGCCCAAAAUCAGAUGGGCAAAUAAUAAAGUAAAGAGAAUCUUUCUAUCUAAAGCCGUUCAAGCAAAAGCUGAUCCGACGCUCAAGAUGAGAUCAUCGACGUUCUUCUUCUCGACGAGCUUGGCGAAGAAGGGCGGCCAGUAGGAGUCGAUCUUCACGUUCUCUGCCUUCGCCAGGGUGGCGAUCCUCUCCGCCUGAUGGUAUAUUUUCCAGAAACGGCAAAGAACAACCGCAUCUCUUGAAAAGAAACCGCAGUUUCUAUUUUCAGAAGAAAACAAAUCAAAUGCGGAAGAAUAAAAAGGGGAAGAGGGAGAACCGUGAUGGGGAGGUCUUCGUCAUGGAGGAUGAGAGCAGCGUAUGUGCAUGGGAGCUCCCCGAUCGACAUGGCUGGACGCAGCAAACAAGAAAACACUGACUAUCUGCAAAUAGAACUCGGAAAAAAAGAAAGGGGAACAUCAACCUAGCCGGAGUUGUUCGAUGUAAUACUAAGAGAAUACAACUGCAGAAGCGAUCAUUACCUGAAGUAAGAAGAAGGAUUUGGCCGCAGCGAAGGAGAAGUUCUAAGUUAGGGUUUGCGCUGGGGAGCGUGAGGGAGAAGCCCGGGAGUUUAUAUAUGGAGCACUGCGUGUCUAUAAAGCGUGAUUCGCGGAAUGAAGACGGCGUGGGGGCGUCACGCGAUUGGAAUGUCACUCGUUGGCCCGAGGGUCCCAUACUAGGAUCCAAUCAGAAUGCAGCAGCGCCACGGGUCAUCACAAAACAGGUAGAAAAUUUCGUUUCCUGUCUCUCCUGUUACGAAACGGGAUGCUAUAUAUAUAUAUAUAUAUAUAUAUAUAUAUAUAUAUAUAUAUAUAUAUAUAUAUAUAUAUAUAUAUAUAUAUAUAUAUAUAUAUAUAUAUAUAUCAAAACCAUUCCUCCAAUUAAUUUAUGAAAGAGAAUAACAAUCACUAAUUGAUGUCAUAACUGAUGGGCAUAUCAUUUACAUAACAAACCACAUUAUUAUUUACAUGAAUCAAUAAGAAUGAAAUUGUCAUAUUUUUCUUUACAUUGGGAUAUACAGUAUGCAAUAUGAUACGUGAGGAGCUACAGGCCACCGUCUGAGGAGUUUGUUGUGAGGGCAGAUGAUCUCCUGAAAUAGCGCGGGGUAGGCCUCAGCCAAUCUUGACCGUCGAUCCAAGACUUGGUAGCAAACGGCUCGGCUUCGAGCGGUGUCAGCCUGUGAGACCACGCAACCCUUCCUGUGACAUCUGAGCCACGACCAAAGCAGCUGUACUCCCCGUAGUACGCCGUCCUGCUCGACACCCAAAGUAGUUCUGUGAGAGACAUGCAAGCAGACCAAUGGCUUCAACCACCGCAGCAGUAUGCCAAUGUUACCUCUGGUUGCGAGGGUCGUUCCAAUCGUUCCAACCUUCAGGUAGCACUGCGUCGGACAUGUAGGUGAACGCAAACACCACCCUGGAGUAGGGUCCCCAUGGCCGCCCGAGGAUUGCAGUUCCAGCUCCGGUGCCGGUGAUCUUGCACUGCAAGAAGCUAUACCCUGUGCUUUCAGCUGCACUGGACCGGCGUUGCGCCGUGAUGGCUCCGCCGCCCGGUGAUGUCGAGUGCAAGUGGCAUUUCUGGUGGCGAACACAUCAUCAGAGUCGACUCAGCUGCAGUGACAAGGAUCGGAUUCUGAGUAAGGACUUACUUCGAAGAGAGCGAGGCCGUUCCCGCAGAUGAAGUCGGUGGCGCCUUCGAUGUAGCAGUUACUGUAGUAGUGGCGUCCGGUGUCGUCCAGGAGAGUGUCCUGGAAACCGAUGAUCCUGCAGGAGUAGAAUGCUGCUCUGUCCCCAGCAACGUGCAGGGCGAUCGCUGGGCCAUUUGGACCAAAUGUGUUCUGGAAGAGAGUCUCAUCCAUUACUAAUAGCUGCUCGAAAGAAAGAAACACUCUUCUUUCAUGCAAUGUAAGAGUACCUGAAUCGUGAGGUAUCUUCCAACGAAAUCUGAAGCUAACACUGAAACCGUGGGAGAUUCUGAUGAUGUCCAACCUUCACCCCAUGUUAUGACUGUGGACAUUGCAUUUGAGCCGCUCAAUGUUAUGAAGGGCUUGUCAGCUGGAACAGUCACCUUCUCUCUGUACAUACAGUUUGGAACGAGGCAGUGCUGUCAGAUGUGGUUUGCAUUUUAAAUGAACAACCCAUGCAUCAUCUCGUUGUUGCAGAAGAAAGGAGCUUAGAACAGAGCACCUGUAAGUCCCAGGCGUGAUCAAAAUGAAGACGGGCUCGGCGUUGUUGGAAGGCACAGCAUCGAUGGCGGCCUGAAUGUUUCUGAAAUCUCCCUUCCCGGACUGGUCGACUCUGACGAGAAUCGCGGAGGAUGGAUCCGAAGAACCUGCCGCGGCGGCCACCGCGAAGAAGGAAGAAGCAGCCAACAAGGCCAACAGCGCAAGGCGGGUGUCUCUCAAAGUCUCCAUGGCUCUUGCAAACGUAGAAUUCAGCAUGCUAAUGGAGGCAUACUUAAAGAAGGAGAGCAGUGACAGGAGCCAGCCACUCUCUUGCUCAACAAGCAUGGCGGAUGUGUGAUCUCGAAGCCGUCUGCUGGCGUGUUGUGUGGAUGAAACAUUCGAACUCGCUGAUGUUUGUGUGCGCUAGCAAUCAAUUGACUUCGUGGGCUAAGAUGCAUGGAUUACGUAGUUGACCAACCUGAAAUGAACCAUGAGAAGAUCGACCAUGGAACAUUACAUGCGCUGCACAUCCUAAGCAAGAACUAAAAAGAUAUGACAUGACACGACACCUGUCCUCCGCUGCUGAUCUCCUAACCUGGAGUUUACACAAGCGCUAUUCUUCCUCCUCAAGCUUAGCUUGUUUGCAGGAACAGAAACAGUAGCUUGACAUUAUCUGUGAUAUGCUCGUUGGUUGCCAAGUCUCAAAUGGGGGCUGCAUUGCUCAACAUGCAAGAAAGAUUUGGCUCAUAAUCCACACUGGAUGAUGGCAUGAUCUUUGUCAAAGUCAGCUGAUGUAACUACAGAAGCAAUUUUGCUGGCUUACAAUUGUGGUUACACAUGUUUCCUAGUCUCCUACUCCCCCACCCAUGUUAAGAAACCAAUAAAAAUAUCUGAAUCAAGAUUUUUGAGUGGAGAGAAUCAAGAUUUGAGAACAAUGAUCAUACAUUGCAGGUGUUAUCUUCUUUUGACAUAUUUAUUAUUUACAGGGAGAAUAUUAUCGAUCAAUCAUUAUUCGACAUGUAUUCAUGUUCAAGCUUGAAGAAGAAGACAGAAAGCUACCUCUUCCGGAUCUGUUUACGUGGACAUAGGUCUAAGACAGAUAAUUAUGAGUUGUUUUUAUCCUUGUCACUUAUAACGCUCGAGGCUCACACAUAUUGAAUUACAACUAAUAUAUCAAUAAAAGGAUAAAUAAUAUGUAUAUAUUACUCUUAUUUUAUGUUAUGAUAUGUAAUGUCUAUGCUUUAUAAAUAUGACAAAUAACAUGUCUAUAUUUUUUUACUUUUAAGAUUAAAGUGUAUACUUUACAAAAAUAUCAUUCUUAGUUUUUUACGAAAUAUUAACUAAGCAUGCAUAAGUAUGAAUGUCUAUAUUAAGUAUAGCACAACAAACCAAAGUGUACUAGCAAACCUAAAUAUGAGGUUAAGUUAUAGUAAUAAACACAUAUAAUGACUAGAAGUAACGAUUGAAUUGUGAUCGAUCUUAAGUGAAUUUUAAGGCUUGAAUGAGUUUAAACAUAAUUAAAGAAAGAAAAUUUAAGUUUUAAACCAUAUAUAAGAUACUUAGAGAUGAAGAAAGUAAUGAAAAAUUAAAUGAGGAUACAAAUAAAAGAGGAAUGUUAUACUAAAUGUUAACAUGCUUAAGUGAGAUCGAAGAAUGAGUUUAGAUUAAAAAAAUAUUAUCUUUAUCCAAAUCCAAUUAAACUCAAUUAAAAUUAUUGUAACAUUAAAAUUAUAUUAGUAAAAGAAGAAAAUAAAAGAAAAGAAGAAAAAAACUUGAAAUAAGAUCUAAUGAGAUUGAGCUUUACACCUUAAUGCAACCUUUUAAGUACCUCUACUUUAAUUUUAGCCUCAUCCUCUUUACUCAAUUAAUAAUCCAUGAUCAUUUCUCUCUUUUUUUAAUCAUUCUCUAAACUUAUCUUAGGAAGGCCAUGAAGCCCUAGCUCUAUGGAAGAUUAAUGUAAGAAAAACUUAACUAUUCCCUUGUUAUACUUAGGGUUUUGGUUUUGUAGGCUGAUAUUUUUAACUACUUUUGAGUAACACAAACAUCGAAUUUAUUUUUUAUUUUUGGAUAUGUUUUGGAUAAUUCUCUUGUGGUUUUAAUAUCAUUAGUAUAACCUUACUCUCUGAGAUUGGUGCAUAGAGUUGUUAUGGUCCCAAUUUGAGGUACUUAGAAUCUCCUAUUUCCUAAGAAGGGAUUCUGUUCGAAUUGAAUUAACCCCUUAGGAAUAUAAUUAUGCUUUGGUCUUUAAAAGAUUCUAUCAAAGUUAUGUAAGAUUUAAAAUUGAGUGAAUACCAUAUUUGUAAACCAAGAUAUGAUGUUUAUAAGUUUAGACAAUCUCAAUCUAGUUUCAUAGAACAAAAUAGGUGUUGGUAGUUGAAGUAGGAGGGUAGUUUAGCCUCCAAAUAAUUCAGUUUUAUGUUAAAUUUUGAUAUGUUUUUAGUUUUAUAUGUCUCCUAGUCUUCUACAAAAGUUCAUGAUAAUUCAAAAUCAUUUAGUUAGCUUGAAUAGUGAAUUAAAACUUCUUCACAUAAUUGUGUAAUGUUUAUGGAGUGAAUUGUUAGAAAAUUUGUAGUGAAAUUUAAAUGAACUUUUAGGUUAAGUAUAGUCUAUUUUAUAAGAGAUUUUAUCAAAAAAAAUUUAUAAAUUAUUACUAUAAAUUAAUAAUUCAAGAGGUAGGGUUCUUAAUUAAGAUAUCUCAUGAUAAUUAUAAAUCAAUAAUUUUAGCACUUCCUCGCACACUCAAUCAUUAAGGAACAUGAUCUUUUUUUGACAUCAUCAUUUUUUUAGUUUAAUCAGGUAAGUAUAAAUUUAAUUCACUGUAAAAUAAUUGUCGUAUAAAUUAUCAUAUGCAUAAUAUAUUUUAAAAAGUAUGUUUCGAAUGAUAUGAUUGUCAUCAGCUAAGAAUGGGCUAAAUAUAAAUAUAUAUUUUUUGUAAGGAUAAAAAUCUAUGAAUUACGAUAAAAAUAUAUUUUAUACAUGCAUAUACGAUGAUAUGUGAUGUGUGAUUGCACGUGUUUUCUAUGACGUGUGUUGUGAGAUUUCAUGUAUUAUGAGAGUGCAUGUAUAUAUUAUGAUAUGCAAUGUGAGAGUACACAUAUAUAUUACGAUGACGUGUGAUAUGAAAGUACAUAUAUAUGUUAUGAUAUAAGACGUAGAAUUUCACGAAUUUGCUAUGUUUUCUACCUGAGCAUAUAAACAUUCUGAAUUAUUUUAUCAUAAAAUUUUAUCUCUUUAUUUUACAUAUACUAUGUUGUAGGAUUAUACUUGCUAAAAAAAUAUAUGAUGAGGUGCUUAUUGUUAAUUGUUAUAUGACGAUGAUUUUAAAAUAUGAUAUACAUGAUAUGAUACAUGCUCACUUGAAUAAAGCUAUAAAAGAUUAUACUUACUAAGUGAUUACUCACUAUAGACCAUAUUUUGCAUGUAAAGAUAUUAAUACCUGACCCAAGUGAUUGUGUAGGGAAGUACGCACGUGAAAGCCUAUACUAAUACAGAUAUGGAUGAUGACCACUGAACAUUUUAUGUAUAAAUUUUGAACAUGUUAUGUUUGGAUUUUUUUUAAUUUUUUUUUACAUGUUAUAAUUAUGUACAAGUGCCAAAAACACUAUAUAUAAGGGAAAUCCUACCAUUUUGUCUAGUGAGUUAGCAUGUUUUAAUUUAAUAGUAGUAAUAUAUAUGGGAAACACUAUAUACAAGUGCAUUCCUAUCGAUAGAUAGUAGUAAUGAAAAUUAAAAUAUGACAUCCUACUUUAGUCUAGGGUACGAGUGAAAUAAGAGUACUACGAUAUUACAUCGCCAACAUAGAAAAGAGGCUAUAUUGAUAUUGUUAAAGGUCAUUAAAAGCUAUCUCUAAAGAAUAUUACACAUAAUAUACCGUUUCUUUACUAUUAUGUAUAAAAGCUCAUUUUUAACAUAUCAAAAGCUAUCUAGGGACCGACUUAGAAAACCUCUCCUGACCUCAAUCUUUAUACAUGUGGGACCUCGAAUGAUCUCCUCAAAAACUCGAUGUUUCUACCUCAAAAGCACCUUGAACAAUCCUACGCAAAUGGGUCUGAAUCACAUCGAGCUGACUCAAACAAUAACAAUAUUUUUCUCAUAACAUUUUUGACACUAGAAAAAGAGUCUAAUGUCAUAAGAAUGCUCGUCCAUCAAUCUUCUCAAUCAACGCUAAAGCGAAGAGAAUUUGCCCCUAACCCAUAGUACUUUCACCCUAGGGUGGCAACAACCACUCUUUCCGUACAUUGGUACAUCCACCUCAACACAGACUCCAAUGUGAUACUAGCGCUUGUUCAAUGACCAAGAUCUCUCACCCCUGUAAUGACCUUGGGCCACCUCCUCAUCCCCAUCGAGGUAUUUUUAAACCUUACUCAGCAAAUAUAAAUGCUAACAUGCAUGAUACAAACCAUCAUACUACUUUUGCCCUAAUUGGUCCAAUAAACGAUGUCACUAACUUAAUCACAAUCCCCAACUCCAUAGCCAUUGGUAGCACCGAUCAAGAUUCCCUAACUCGACAAGGUGUCGACAUCUCAAGACCGCUUCAGGCCUAUCAAAACAAUAGUCAAGGGGGUACUUUGGUCCUCAUUCUACCUUGCAUAAAUUUAAGACUCAAUUAAUGAACUCAACUUAAGAUUUUAUAUGAAUCCAACUACAACAAAUGGACCAACAUUUGGAGGAGAUACAAUGAGAAUUCUAAUAAUCAAAAUGAGAUACACUGAUCACCCCCACCUUGGUCAAUCACUAUUUACUCAAAAUAUUCAAGAGGAACUAAUUUCAAUAAGCUUCAAUCUCCCAUCGUUGAAAGUAUUCGAUGAUAGCACCAACUUGAUGAAACACAUUACAAUAUUUCUCACAUUAUAAUAUUUUACGCUCAUAUAUAAUUAUGUCCUAAGAUAUCAUGCCUUCCCAACCAUAUUAAGAGGCCUAACAUUCUUGAAUGAUACGCUCACUUAAAAUCAAUUUCCAUCUACUUUUUCAUCCAGUUGGUGAUAAAGUUCGUUUUCUCGAGAAUGUAUGCCAUUAGCCUUUAGUGACAAUACUCAUCUGACUCAAACAAAGGGAAGAAAAAAAACGCUCGAAGACUUUGCCACUUGAUUCACAAAUGAGAGAGCUCGCCCUCGUCCGAGAUGUCAUCCUUUAUUCUAAUUUUAUUUAAAAAUCCUUAAAUGAUUUUUAUAGAUAAUUAAGAAUUUGUCAUCCUUUAUUCUAAAAUAAAGAAUGACAAGUUCUUCCUGUUUAUAUGUAACCUGAAAUUAAAAACUCAUAAUUUUAAAAAAAUUAUAAUCUUAAUUUUAUUUAUUAGAAAAAAAAAAAAUGAAUGUCAAGCUGGUUAAUUCUUUUAUGGGGCACAAAAGAUGCAGAAACCCAGACAACGAUCUCAGCACCAAAACUCCCCGUCAUCAACGAAAAUAAUGCGACGAUCAGAUCUUUUGCCCAAAUGUUGGCAACGAAAAGAGAAAUAAAGAAAUACUAAGAAACUAAUUCUUGUACCGCAUAAAACCAAAACAGAGCAUCCAUAGACCAAAGAAGAACGAUUAAGAAAACAUAUCUGGGGUGGGAUGAGAGAAGACAAUUGACGGGUGAAGAGGAGAGGAGGUGCUCAGAGAUCUGAAUUUGAAUGGAUUCAAUGCUGUCCUCACGAAGAAAAGAGGUCAGAUUAACGAGAAACCAUCAUCGCACCCUCCUCCUCUUCGCCUACUGCUAAUUCAUACGAGAAAAGACAAACACACACGGCGAUGGAGAUUUCCCCUUCGCUCCGGCCUCCGGAAACCCUAGAGGAAGAUCCCCCUUUCGCCCACCGAGAGAACCCUAGCCGAGCCACUAUCGACGCGGAUUAGCAACCCUUUUAUAGGGUAUUUGGCAGGCUACUGGGCCCGGUAACCCGUUAGCCGAUGAACCCGGACCCGAUACUUCCAGCCCAGCUCAGCCCGCGAGAUCCAUACACCCAUCAACGGCCCGAUGUAGGCCAUGCAGGUGUGCAGCACGCAUCAUGUCGCAAUUCUCAGGGCAAGUGGGGGCCGUGAUUGGAGUCGUGAAUUGCUGACAUGGACACCAACGUAUCGACCCAAGCACAUCUACGUGGAAGCCGAGUCGUCCAUCAGAGAAUUCCUAUAUUUGGACCGUGGAAUAAUUGCUUUAUGUUGACGGGACCGAGAGAUGAAUACUUGGCUCUUUCCCGCUCGUCCGUCGCUGGUUUGCAUGGGAUGCAUCAGCAUGCACUGGAACAAUCCCUUUUCCUGCUGAACAUGGAGUGAGCUGAAUCCUGGAGCCACCUGAUGUCUGUACGAGUACAUAUUCCAGUCCGAUGACUUCCGUGGAAUCAGGCAAGUUGCUUCCAGCAGGAGGAAUCUGUGUCUCUCGGACCACUUUCUGGAAGCACUGAUGCGAUGCAAAGCUGGGCUGCAGUCUCAAUCUUCCCACAGUUCCAGCUGAACUUUGAGAAUCUUUUCUCCUCCGGGGUCGGAGGAGGAGCACAACACAGUUGGUGAAGAUGAAAGAAGAUCAAAACCAUUGCCACAAAGUGGGUUGCUGUUGAAUCAUCCUCUUGACAGUGUCAUACAGCCAAGGAUCAAAGCGCCAACUUGCAGAGGAAAGGAUCAGCAUCGCCCUCAAUUUAAAAGAUUGAGGUUCUCCGGAUUGCAACUUGCUGGAAUCACCAAAGGUGGCAUCUGCCAAAAGUUGAGCUGAUAUUUCAACCCCCAAAGCCUACUAGUUUUCUAUCAGAUGAUGGAAAUGGCGUUCGAUCACCUUUGACCACCAUAUUUGUUGCUUGAUUGGUGCAGCAUUCUAAUCACAAAAAAGGUAUAGGCGAGGGUUCAGCCAUAAGCAUGAAUUAUAUUGCAUGACAAAGGAAGAGAGAAGAUUUGGCAGGCAAAGGGGUGAGAGAAAAUUUACAAGGGUGAUUCCUUCUCCCAACCCACCAAUUCACAAAUCCCUUUCUAUUGGUCAUCUAGAAGUCUUUGUUCUCCACCACAGAACAACCCCCACUGCCUCGGCUCUCCUGCCUAUAAGGAGCACCGCCUGGCUGCUUCCUCUUCGUAUCAGCAGCCCACACCGAGCUCGUCAGCUUCUCUCACCCACAUCAGAGCUUCGAGAUGGCAACCAGCUCGGGGAGCUCGUGCUGGACCGCGAAGCAGAACAAGAUGUUCGAGAAAGCCCUCGCGGUGUACGACAAGGACACGCCCGACCGCUGGCACAACGUGGCGCGCGCCGUCGGCGGCAAGUCAGCGGAAGAAGUGAAGCGGCACUACGAGCUGCUGGUGGCGGACAUUAUCCUCAUCGAGAAGGGCCAGAUGCCUCGAGCCAAUUACCGCUCCUCCGGCCACAGGGGUACUCCCUUCGCCUCUGCCUCUUUGUCCAAAAAUUUGAUGGACAUGAUCAAGCAAACUCGAACUGUACCAUCUGAACAUUUCUUUUUCUUUGUAGCAGGAUGAAGUGUCGACUGGAUCAAAAGUGUAGAAACGGGCAGCAGUCUACUCUGGAUGAUCAAUUACAAGAAACAGAUACAUACAUAUAUGUGAUGAAGUAUCAGACAUCCCUGCUCUAAGUAGUGUUCUGUUCUCUUGUCCCCCCUUCGAUUCUAUGUUGUAUUUAAAAUGCAGGCAGCCAAGAAGACAUGUCCUGUUCUCUGUAAAUUUACCUACUGGAAGCACAAUAUAAUCCUGUUUGGCAACAAUGCAUAUCUGUGUUUUCUCCUCUUCAAUUCAAAAGAUUAAGUUGAUCAAACGAGAUUAAUACAGAGUUUUGAGGGCCAUUUGAAUGGUAUUAAGAACAGCUGAAAAUUUUAUAACACAAUAUCAUGUUCUUUUGGCACACUGUCGUCUAAAUCACAUACUAAUGAAUAAAAAUGAAACAUAAUGAUAAUGUUAAUAAUGAAAUGAAAUAUGGUGUUAUGAUGAUUAUUUGCUUAUCUAUUUAAACAAAAAGUAUAUAAGCAGUCUAUGCUAUCUAUUUAAGUGGAGCAGAGUCUCCAUCCAGCCUCUUGAAGUUGUCUUCUCUUCUUAUGCACUGCUGUGUAAUUUCUUUCGGAGGAAUGAAGUGACAAUAUAGAUCUAAAAUUCUACAGAAAUCUAAAUCAGACAUAAACCUUUUCAGAGGAAUGGAAGGAUCAAUUUGCAGCAUCAAGUCUUGUUCAGCUCCUCUUUUUUCAUUUAGAUGGUCCAACUCAUUCCUGAACCUUUUCAAGAGUUGUGUGGCCUUCACAGACAUGAUGUGUGAGGCUUACAUCCACACCUCAAAGCCAGAGAUCAUAGCAGUGUCCCCUUGUGGUUUGGCCCUACAUGAAUGAACACAAGCAGAUGAUCUCAGUCCAUGAGGUGGCAGGAGGUAGUCCUUUGAAGAGAACAUCUGAUACUCUCAAGUGGAGUUCCAUAAAGAAUUUUGUCUCUCCAAAGAAUUAUGCUCCCAGGGUGCCAUAAUCAUCAUAUCAUGGCCAACAAGCCUCACUCACAGUCAAUAAAAGAAGAACAUAGCAUUACUAUCCCAACCUCACAAGUGAGCCACCAUCUGGGGAAUUAAUUAUUUGGGACCUAUACUUGAGCAUCAAUACUACAAUAAUUUUAAUCCAGAACCUCUCUAGUUGUAUCCCAAAGACAAUUAAUCAGAAUAUUAUAUUAUUUUUCCUCGUUUUGUUUCUAUAAGUUGUUUAUAUUAGAUAGAUAAUAAUUAACACAUGUGAUCCAAAGUGAGUUCAGUCUCUGAACAAUAGGCAGGGAACAAAAAAAGGGCACAAACCUUUUCACAUCUACAAAGAACACAAGUUUUCUUUAGAAGAAUCUCUGGCUGAUACAUGUCUCACUGUUACAGUAAAGCUCUGAAACUGAUGGGAACAGUAGACUCUGGUACUUGUGUACAUUGCUUGAGGUCCUUUAGUACAAUACUCAUGCAUCUUUGGAACUCUUUGCUGGUCCCUCUCUUCCACAUGAUUCCCUGCAACUUUACAUACAGCCAUGGAAUCUUCAGUGGUGCAAGUAGGCAAAAGCAAGCAGCAAUUUGCAGAAGCUUGAUCCAACAGGUCCCGAAGAGGUGAGGAAGAUUCUUUCCGCCCCAACUUGCAGGUACCUGUCAUUGCGAGGAUUCCAAGAGAAACUAGCCUUGGUUAAAGAUGAACACCUCCAUGCAUGGAAUCAGCUCUGAGACGGCCUACAAGAAGCAAGUGCUCCAGUUUCAACCAAGGGUUGAAUCUUAGUAAGUAGCGUGAUGUGACAUUGUUGUCUCUCUCCCUUCGUGUAUCUGUUCUUCCUCAUGUGGGAUCGUUGGCUUUCUAACUCUUUGAUCCCUUUACCCGGGAUCAUCUACCAUUCCAUGAGAUCUCUUAUACGUCAACUUUCAGAUUCGCCCUGCUUAUAUGCCAAUCUUGUUUCUCAAUCUAUACUCGUCAAAUCCAAUAUAUUCCCCCCCCCAUGUGUGCGCCGAUACCUCCCUGUAUCUUUCCACAGAAUCUACUCUCCAGGAUCUUUUCUUCUCUCUCUCUCUCUCUCUCUCUGCCUUAUAAUUUGACUGCAAAUAAUCAUCAGGGAAGCAUGAAUUAAUGGCUGUAUACGACCUAUCAAUAUCCUUUCAACCCAAUAACACUUGAAUUCUUUGGCACUCUUCUAUCACUCAGCAUCUUUCCUCGUCGUGAACUACUGAAAUGCUAAUACGAAAACUCAAACGUUGUCAGAACCGCGAGGGCAUGCAAGUGUUGUGAGAUCAAGAAUACCGAGGAAGAGAGUAUUGGAGUACUUGAGAUAAAAGUUGGGAGGGAGAAAUGGCGAUUCCUUCCACUUCCCCACAUAGAUCUUAUUGUUCUUUGGCCUCAUUGUGGCUCCAAGAGGGCACCAGUACUCAUCUCAUAUUCUGCCAUCCUUCCUUCCUCCUUUAGUCCUUUUGGAAAUGCUAUUCUCCUGCUAGUUAGCUCCAACGAAGCACUACCCCACAACUCCCACUUCCCUCCUGUUUAUAAGGAGCGCCAACCCACGGAAGAAGCCAACGCAGGAGUUCGUAGAGCUUAAUUAGCGUCUGCUGCCAAUUAGACUCCCCUCCAUCUCAUUCCAUAUAUAGCCGAGAUGGCGUCCGGCUCCAAGAGCAGCUCGCGCAAGCUCCAGGACUCGUGGACCAAGGAGGAGAACAAGCGCUUCGAGAUGGCGCUCGCCCACUUCGACCUCGACACCCCGGAUCGCUGGGUGCACGUCGCCAGGGCCGUCGGCAACAAGUCCGUCGAAGAAGUGCAACGCCACUACGAGCACCUCCUCAAGGACAUCGAGCUCAUCGACUCCACCCAGGAGCCAUUCUACAGUUACCCGACCACCAAUGACAGGCGCCGCAACGGCACCAGCGACCAGCAGAAGAGGUGGUUGCUUCUUCGGUACUCCAAGCUUUCAUCUUAUUUCUUCUUCAUCUCUGGAACACCCCCACCUUUCCGUCGUCGUCCUCAGUCUUUGCCUUUCUGAAGAAUGAGACCCGCGGAGCAGCAUUCCACAGCAUCUCUUAGCUUUCCACAAUCUUUAGGGGUCACAGUCACAUGCAGCACUUCAUUCUUUCAUAUAUUCUUAUUGUCUUGGCUAACUUAUCUCAUGGAUUGCUCUGUCUCUUCCUUGUCUGCUGCAUGCCAAAGCUUCAAAUCAAGUUGUGGGUUAAAUUAAUGGUUCUUGAUGAGUGAAAACUAUUCUGAUCUCAUGGCUCUUUCCAUUUUUGUCUUGUUUGGCAGGCUAAGGUUCCUAAAGCUCCAGUGAAGCAGAAUCUGGGGAGCGUACAGUAGCAAUCUUAUGAUGCGAUGUUAUGAUGGACAGCCAUACGUAUAGUCUUAUGUGUCAGGUUAUGUAUCAAGAAGCAUCAAGUGUGGAAGCCAUGAAGAAUCAGACAACACUGAUGUUGUAGUGGUAGCUGUGUUACAACAUAUGAUGUAUGUGACCGUAUCACAGACUAUGUAUGCUGUAUGUAAUUUGCUAAAUAUUGCUGGUACUUUAAUUAGCAUCUGUGUUGCCUUAUGAAAGUAUUUAUGAUAUGUUUCUUCCUGAGUCAUCGAUGUUCUAAGCGUUGGCCUAUGAGACAAUAUAUUUUGGCUUAAGUUUGCUAUGUUAUUGAUGGUAUGUUUUGGGUUGAGCCUCAAUUAAACAGUAUAUGACUCUACCAUUUGAGUGAUCUAUGCAGAAACCUAUUUAGUUUACCUUUUACUUAAAUAAAUUUAAUUAUUUUAGAGAUAUUUUAUGUAAGUAUCUCAAUUUCAACUUAGGAAGAGAAAAAGGAAGUAAUUACAUAAAAUAAAGAAAUUAUAUUUGAUUUUGAUUAAAAAUAAUAAAUUUUGAUUGAAGAUAAUAAAUAAUCUUGCCGAGUUGUGAGACAAAUAUUCUGGGAGUGUUCUACUUGGACCAAAGCGACCAUGGCAUUUAUUCCAUUAUAUUUUUAUUAUCAUUUUCUUUCUGGAAUCACUCUUUCUUAUUUCAAAAAAGAAAAUUAAAUUUACUUAUCUGUGCCUUUUGAAGUAUUGAAAUUACAUAUUAAUUCUUACAAAUUUAACGUAGCAUAUAUGUCCCUCCGAAUUCAAGAUUAUUCAUGCAUAUACUCCCGUCCACUUCCAUUCAAAAAACCUAUACUAAAUAUUCUUAGAUGUGGUUUAUAUUUACCACAGUUAAAUUAUUUAUCAUACCUAAAAUUUAUUAAAAGAAAUCUUACUAGUAUCAUAGGAGCUUUUUAAAGGAUAAUAAUAUCGAUUAGAGUUUCAAUUAAGAGAAAACAAUAUUCAUAUAAUAUAAAAUAAUUGCAUGAACACAUAUGUAUCUUUUUAGGUUCAAAUGGGAGUAUAUAUAUGUAUAUAUAUUAUAUAUGCUUAAAUCAAAUUUAGUAAAAGAAAAUCACUAUAGGCGAGCAUAUAUUUCAUGCUUCAAGAGAGAGGAUUGCAUACAUUUAACCAUCACAUUUGUUGCACUCAGCUCAGCCCACAAGCCACACUUCAGCCCAUGCAGUGAUGUCUAAGGCAAUAUAAUUUAGAUGUCAGUUUCUCUUCAAAGAUGAGACUCACUACAUCAAUUAGCAUUGUCAUCUCAUAUGGUGGACAAAUAUGAUGUUCCAUGCAGAGCUAAGGAAAAUACUCGUACAUGUACAUGAGUGCGAGUAUAACAAUCCUAGGAGGAGACUUCCAGGUUCUAUACUAAUAAAGACGACCGAUGAAGAUCCAUAGUUUGCCCGGUUUGGUGUCAAAGGUUGAUUAGAAGUUUGUUUAGUAUUAUUAGGAGUUCUAAUAAAAUUAGUGUAUGUUCUAUGUGAAUUAUUUAGGUGAACCACCUUCCCAUAUUAUAUGAAUAUUAGCUUUUGGGAAUUCCGAUCUGGUUGAUAUGCCUUCGGGUGUUCGAAGUGAGCUCGAUCUGUACUAAGACGGAUGUCGGAUGAGGUUCUCAAUAUGAUCUUUUUUAACGCUCGAUUAAUGAUCAAUGAUUUUUGUCCUCUUCUACUAAAUAAAGUGCGGAUUAGAGAUGAAUAUUUUUCCUAUAACCAACGUAUACAUGAUUGCUUAAUAGGUUCAAAUUGCAAGAAACGUACAACUUAUAUACCCAAUGGUCACAAGAAAAUAAUUUAUCGUCAGCAACACAAAUGCCUUCGUCCCUGAAUUUGACACCGAAGGUUAAGCAAAGAAGCUCUCUGUUUGAUGCUGAAUUGAUACUCUAGAAAAGAAACCAGUAUGUUUUACCUAUACAUAAGAUUUCAGCCAUGAGUAAGAACCACGAAGAACACAAAAAAGUGGAACAAUAUGCAGAAUAGCAUAAAGAAAGGCCUAUUCUUAGAACUCCAUUUGAUACAUUGUGAAAGAAAAUUCAAUGUUCCUUAUAAUAAAACUGUUCCUCUCAAUCAUCCAUAAAGAUAGAAUGGGUUGAAUGGUUCAAUGAAUGCGCUCAUGACAAAGGUCUCAGCAUCCCAACACCAUGAACAUGUAGAAGGGAGAAAUAGGACGCAACUGACAUAUCCUUGCUUUAAUUUCUGAUCUUAUCCCAAUGCUAUCAUCGGUGGAAUCAACUUCAAGAAAAAGACAAGAUGUCCAGCAAAAGUGAAACUGCCAAUGUGGCCUCAUCCAUGCAUCUUUAGUGCAACAGAAACGAGGACGGGCAUGAUGCAAAACUCGACACAGAAACAAGAGAAAACGACAUGGAUGGAUCUGCAAGAUUAGGAGAGAGAGAGAGAGAGAGAGAGAGAGCCGUAGCAAGCAGGUGAUCAUGUUGUACACGAGAGUGAUACCUGUUCGGUGCCGACAUUAGGGUCCGAGUGUGAUGCUGUGAGAUGACAACAACAUAGUCGUCGAUCAUUCAUGCCAUGCACUUGUGAACUCUUCUUCCUGUGCGCAGGAAAUGUUGAAACGUGGAGUUGAUGGAGGAAGAAAUUUCCACAAGUUCUUUGACCGCAUCAGCUUCUCCUCCGCCCAAACCACAAACAAGAAAAGCAAAGGAACGGUUCCAAAGCUCUCAUAUGGUCGAUCAACCCUUUUGCUAUACCAACCUCAUGGUGAAUGAAUGAGGAAAUGGGCGGGCUUAUGAUCACACCGAGAACUAAGUAGCGAUACAUCUAAGCAAGUUAAGUUGAUGACAACAGUAAUGCAGAUGCAAACCAAGAAUUCGAACGCAGAUGUUUCAGUACCCUGCCUCCGCCUACGAUCUCAUGGCCAUCACAUCUGCUGCUGCGAUUGUUGCGACGAGGAGUGCGGCUGGUGUUGCUGCGGCAGUACUACUUCAUCCUGCCCCGGUGGUUGCUGUGGCUUCCUGAUCAAGUGCUUGUUGUUGUGCAUCCAGACCUUCAAGACUUGCCUCCUCACCCCAGUCUCGGCGCAGAAUUGCUCCACCAAUCCCUCGUCUUGCUUCUGAAUCCUCCAUCCCAUCCUUUCCGCGAAAGCCAGCAUCUUCUCCUUCUGCUCCAUAGUGAACUUGGUCCGGAACCGCUUCCUCGGCGUGGUCGCCGGGGUCGGCGCCCCGGCAGUCAUCCGUUCCUCGCUCGAAGACUCCGUCGUCCCUCCGCUCCCGCUGGCGUUGCCACCGAACGCCACGAUGCCGGAGGACGGGGUGGUGGGAGUACCGAAUUGGAAUUGCUUCUGGUAGUGGUUAUGGUGCUGGGAUUGGGGAUGGGGGGGAGGAGGGAGGAGGAGAGGAACACGGGCGGCGCCGCGGUAGUAGGAGUCGGCGGCGGCGGCGUCGCCUUCGGCCUCCUUCCGAUGGAAACUGCGGUGGCAGCCGCAGGCCGCGCACUUCAGCGCCUCCGGCGAGGACGGGUCGCCCUCCGGCAUGAAUUCGCCGCAGCCAUCGAGAACGUGGCCACCGAUGGAAGCCGCGUGGUUGCGGAGGCAUUCUCGGUACCUGAUAGAAGCUGAUGCAGCGGCCUUGGUGUUACUCGGCGCAGUUGCACCGCUGACCGGAGCUGGAUCUGUGUUCCUUGCAGCAGACUGAUACAAAACAUCCACCGCUGCAGCUGUUGAUGACGGUGUGGUGCUUCCAAAGAGGCUAACAUUCUCCGCAGUUGAUGUGCCACUUCCAUUUCCUCCUCCUCCUCUUAGGGAGAUUAAAGAGGAAGAAGGAGAGAGUACAGGUUUGGAGAAAGCAGAUCCUCUAAUGGGAGGACGAGCGUUGAAACUCAAAGCUGUGGAUGAACGCAUCUCAUCAUCAUCAUCAUCAUCAUCAUCAACAACAAUUUGGUCUUUAUAUUCCAUGAAUCGAACUCUUCCUCUCUAGAUUUCGUCUUCAACAGAGAAAGCAAAGCUAAUGGAGCCGAUCAGUAGAAGAAAUCUUCGAGAGAAGCGACAACACUGUUCAAGCUCUUAUUGCACUGGGAGCACGGAUGAGGUGAGAGGGACAGGACGAGAAAGUGCUGCACCAAGAGACGCAGACACCGGAGGUGUAAUAAUAAUGAGAGAGUCAUUUAGAAGGGAGUGGCCUUGGGAUUUGGUGUCCUGCCAUCCACUUCUGAGGUGGAAAGAGACGACGAUUAGUUCCACACUUCUCCCCUAAUCUCAACCAUUAAACUCAGCUCCUCCUCCUUCAACCACAUCAAUUCUAGGAAAUGGCUACAACAUGACACUCCAUGUGUCGUUCAUCGCUUCCAAGUCAAAACCAGCUGCCAAAGAAAUCAAGACACAUGAUGAAUCAUUUAAGACAUGUCUCCAUGUGAUCUUCACCGGAAUCUACAUGAUUGAGUUAUGAUGAGUGCAGGCUAUCAUUUUUCACACGGCUACAUUAAGAUCGGGUUGGCCACUUGAUGUUGCUAUCAAUUGCUUGCAAAGUACUCGACGUGUCAGACGCACAAGUAUAAUAUUGUGCAGGUCUUUCCUGUUAGGGCAUGUAAAUGUCUCAUUCUAUCUGGAUUAACCUCAAGUGAUUUGGAUGUUUGUUUGGAUGAAGACAUAAUGAGAGAGAGAGAGCGAGCGAGAGAGCAUAUAAUAACGUGGGAAUCAAUUUGUCGACAGGAGCAGCAGGAGACAACCAAAAGGUUGACUAGUACACAACUUGCCAUUGAUUGGCGGACCACGUGGCCCCCAUGCGCGGGGGCCCUUCCUGUGUCAGGAUUCUGGAAACGUGGUGCAGCCCCAGCCACCGGUAGUGGUGUUUUUUUUGUCUUGUCGGAACUCGUGCCCAUGAGCCGUCAACACUCGCUCUCCCCUGCCAUUCCACUGGCUCUUCAUGAUCGAUGAAUGCUUGUGAUUCCUUAGAUGCCUGUGUCUCAGAUAUAUGUGUAUAUAUGCACACACAUAUUGGUCUAGUGCGACUCUUGGAAGGUGAUGAAAGGUAACAUGUCACGUUUGCUAGCUGGAAACCACGCCUUGGGUGGAAUCCAAUGGAUGGAAAAGGUCUCUUGUCUUGAAUGCUGACCUGUUGCUUCCACGAAGAGUAUGUGUGAGGCGUGGAUGUUUGGUGACGCUGUUUCUUCCAUAGGCGAAUUGAAGAGGCAAUUAUGAAAGAUAUCAUAUAACAACUUUAUAAUGUGGCCAAUAUAAUUAAUGGCAUGCCCGAUAAGAUGUAUGGGCCAUCUUCUCCUUACAGAGAACCAAAUAUUUGCAGUGUCACGAAGAAUACCAGAUUUGGGCUGUGUACUGAUCGGCCCGAUCCAAAUCUGGAUCCAAAUCAAACAUUAGGUUCACAUCUACUGGGUCCGACUUGACCUUAUACUUACGCUUCUCCUGAUUCCCUAGGGUCAUGGGUGGGGCCAGACCAGGCUGCUCCAGUUUGACCUCUAAACCCGUCGUGUUAAUCUAUUAAAACAUGCUCGAAGUUGUCAACGUCCAAGUGUUCGACGGAAGGCCGCUGUUGAUUCGGCAGCAGGCCAGCGAGUCAUCACCACUGGAUGGUAAAGAAGUACUUACUACUCAUGGCAUGCAACGAUAUUUAACGUCGAUCGGCGACGGAAGCCUUGGCUGUGGCCGGGAGAUGGCGAGGAGCAAACGGCAGUCCCUUUGUCUUUGAAGUGUUAUCGAGUCCGGUUGGUAAUGCCAAGCUUAAAAGACUACAUGGUUUUCUUACUUGUAUUCGCCGAUCACCUGGAUAUGAUUGCGUGUGAUGCGAGUGGACCUGAACGAAUAAGCUUUUGAAAAGUAAUUACCAUUAUCUUUGAGAUAAGGAUAAUUCGUGACCACGUUCUUUAGAGGGGAUGAGAGAGAAAGAAGAGGAGGGAGAAGAAUAUGGAGUGUGUAGUACGCUAGUAACACCAACACAAGCCAGAAAACUCCCGGUCCGAACUGAGAUGAUGCAUGCUUUGAACUGUUAAAAAGCAACCAAUGAAUGCCCGGAAGUACGUCUCGUACGGUAACUCUUGAUUGGAUUCUGCUGUUAUCCCAUCAUAUCAGGCUUUCUGUUGGCCUUCUCUCAUGUCCACCGGUCACUGGCCGCUGCCACCUGCAGAUGCCCUGUUCAUGUCAUCCCCUCGAUUCCUCCCCCCCCCUUCCGCCAACGACACCGUCAUCAGCAGAAUCUAUCUAUUCAUCCGUCUAACACACACACACACACAUGUUGACUCUUAAACCACAAUAAGAACACCCAUCAUUUGAUUCGUUACCUAACGAAGAGACUUAUCAUCUCUACUACUUGAGGCUACAGAGUAUACAUGAAGAGGUUGAUCAAAGAAGGCCACGAACAGGACUGGUUUUGAUGCUGAGUUGCUACUGGAAUUCGGAACUACUAAUUGUAUUGGAAUAGGCUGGGGCGGUCUCGAACCGGGAACUGGGUCGGCGGCACCAGGUUUAGCCGCCAGGAGAGAUAAGGCACGUCGCCCUCGUCCGCCGUGUCGUCAUGCACCGAGAUGGAAGGGCCGCUCUUCGUCGCCGUUGGAGCGUAGCAUCCCCAGGGUGACUGCUGCGGCUGCUGCUGUCGUAUGUAUCCGUAUCCGAUCGUCUGCUCGGCAGCCGCCGUUACCACCGAUGUCGACGAGGACGGCGAUGCCGCCGCCCGCCUCUCUUCCUUCUUGUAACGGAUGCCGCACGCGUUACACAGUGACUGCAUUGCUGUAACAUAUUAGAUUGCUUGAGACGGAGAUACAAGUUUAAGGCGAAGCUAGUCACUACCUUUGGGCCUCUGGGACCGUUCCUCCACAAGGGAGUGGAGGUGGUGUCGCAGUUGGCGCACCUGCGGGCUAGUAGAUGCGGGUCUCCGGCCAUGUUCGAGCCGAUGGUGUUUCCACCACCAGAAGCAAUGCUUCCACCUGUUCCCAUGGACGCGUGCUUCUUGGGAUGAGAUAGGCUAUCCCAGCGAAAGCUGGACAUGCACGAGGGUGGCUGGAUAUGUGCAGUAGGUGAGGGCAAGGUUUUGUGUUCAGUCAGGCGCGUCGAUGGGGUGCCGAGAGACAAGGUGCAGUCCACCGACGAGGAAGCGUCGGACUUACUGCCAUCGAAGGCAUCAUCAUCAGUAAACUUGCUACCGGACGCCGGGAAGAAAAUGGAGAACGAGGCGGCGCCACCGCAGAGCAACCCACACGAGCACUGCUGCGUGCUGCUCUGGUGGCCGCACUGGUGCAACAUGGCUGUAGUCCUAAUCGAAAGGCUGCAACAGAGAGGAAGCAAGAGCUAAAAGACUGGGAGAAGAGGGAGAGAGGGAGACGCGGUUGAGCUCAUAUAAAAUGGGAGGGCAGCAGCACGUACUACUACUACUACUACUACUACUACUUCUGUGGGGAUGACACGCAUCGGGAUGGAGGAGGGAGGAGGAGGAGGAGGUGGUGGUCGUCCAACAACUACGAACUACAUAGUGGUUUACACGAAUGUAGCGAGUGUUUUUAUAUGUGCAGCCGAGGUAGCAGACAAGGAUUAAUGAAGCAUAUUAAUGAUGCUUUGUGGCAAUAAUAGCGUGUGGGAACUUGGGAAGUGGGGGAUCGGGGCUUGUCGGUUCUUAAGCAAAGAGGAUAGAGUAAGCAAGCUUAAACGACACAUGAAAAGUGGAAUAUGACUGACUACCAAAUGUGUAGCUGCUAAUCUAUGGAAGGGCUCAUCGGGGGUUGGAGAAGACUAGUCAGCUGCAGUACGAUAGUGUUUAUGUGGUGCAGUGGGGAGGGCUCCACUUAUCCACCGAGUCAGUCGAAUCAGAUGAGUUCACCCCUAUUCGCAGUUUGGGUUUCGUGUGCUAUCUCCAUCAUACACCACAGACAGUCGCUCUCUCUCCUCGCUGGGGGACUUCAGCUUCCACCUAACAAUCUCUCAGCCUGUCCUCGGUAUAGGGGGAGCGGCCAGCAUCACCAAGUCGGAGUUGUGGCGGUUUCCUCUGCACUGCUUCUUAUACAACAAUGACGUAUGACUGGUUCGGGGCUGUACAUCACAACAAGACGAUGGAUCAUGACACAGCGCGUUAAGGGACUGCAGUGAGAGAGAGAGAGUGAGAGGGAGUUUUUGGAGGCGCAGCAAACAAUGCGGGUCAGAGGGGACAGACGGGGUUGGUCAUUGGGCGGUCAAAAGUGGCCACGUGACUCCGGGAACAGUCUUCCACAUAACAUUUCUCUAUACCCUUACGCCUCCUCGCCGAUCACGAGACCGCGCGCCACCCCGCCAGCGACGACGACGGAUGGUGGGUGUGCAUCGAAGCAGAGGAGCAGCAGAGACGCAACACUGAGCCAGACACGAGCGCAGACCAACUCCACUUCAGAAAACGUUUGCUUGUGGACGACACUCUCGAACGGCACAGGAGCCAUUUUUAGCUCACGUCACCAUCUCCAUAUGUCGCCAACCGCUGCCACAAACCACGGAGACUCUACGUAGGAGACGACGACGUAUCCGGGAAGAGGUGAUGGAGUCGACAUAGGAAGCGUAUCCCAAAAGCGAGAACGGUGUGUUGUAUAAAGAGGGAGAAAGUAAAAGACAGGAAAAGAUAAAGAGAAACAAAUGGGAAGGACGAGAGAAUAUAGCCAUGGCUGCUGGCUGCUGGCUUCUGCAUAGGGAGGGAAACACCGGCAGCAGCUCGGCUUAAUCGGCCCCCCUCAUCAUUACCGUCGCCUCAAAAGGGGGGUCAACUUCUUGAACACAUCCCCUCGUUGGACGCCACGGUUAUACAUUACAGUGAAAGUUGCACCGCCGCGUAGCUAAUCAUCGCCGGCUACAGCUUGCUCGCUUUGCAUUGUACGAUCUCCCAAGUGAAUCGGAGAUCAAAGAUAAGAUUAAACAGAACCAACAGUGAGAGCACGUACUGCAUCCAUGGCUUACGGGAGCUGCCACUUGCCGGCCAACUGCAGGUUAUCAUGCAGGAAAGUGAGACACCGGAACGAUGAUAGUAUACGUACAGCUUACUCCUGUGUACAAGUGGCGUAGGUGAUCCAAGUUCAUGUUCAAAGAGGGUUUCCGAGACACGACCACAAGUCUAGAGAUCGCUGUCUAGGUUUAGAUUACUUAUGUGUGUAGAGAGAGAGAGCGAGAGAGAGAGAGAGAGAGGCAUCUUUUGGAAAGCGGUAGUCUCCAAAACCGAUCAGUUCUGUGUGUCGUGCUGCCCAUAAAAUCCAAUGGUGGCGAACUACGAGCGAGCGGCGUCCCCGAAAAAGAGAGAGAGAGGGGGAAGAAUGAGAAAGAAAGAGAGAACAGGCAGGAGGGAUUCAAAUGCUCCUACGAUGGGCGUCUCGCCUUGAGAACUGAGAUAUCUCUCCUCCCUUUCUUGACCAGAAGCGGAGCAGCCUUAUGUCUGCGUCCAUGAACACCAGACGAAGCCAUCAUCGUCCACGACGGGUGACACGAACCUAUUCACAAGCGCCAGAGCCCGGUCAACAGCAGACGGAGCGGCUAUUGCGUACUUGGAGUCGUGUCAUUAGCCGGGGCAGGUGUUGGGUGUCAGGGACCCAACCAAACUGCGUCGCUGCGAGGUGCACAGACUGGGGGCGGAGGCGGGUCCCACACGACAUGACCAAUCCGGCGUGGUCCCUCUGUUGCUCCCCCGCCCCCGGUACGUUGGUGGGGUUGGUGCCCUACGCCGGCUUUUUAGAGCCCCCAUCCAUAUCGAAUCGAGAUUGACCGGCAUCUGAAAUUGCGCGGAUUUCGUUGACCAAUGCCAAAACAGAGUCAUGCAUUCAUGUAGGAGUUCUAUUAGUUCCUUUUUGUUUUCCUUCAUCAGUAUGCAUGCCAUUAAUCAAUCUUUACACAUUCCUAGGCUUUGUUUAUAAGCAAGCAUGGUGUUCUUGUUGCAUGGUUAUAGCAAGGUGUGCUUGUUGUAUGUUUGUUUAGUAUUGAUUUUGUGUCAUAUAACUUCAUUGUCAAUCCAUCUUGUCUACCAAAGGUUUUUCUUUAACAUUUCCUAUUCUAACAAAAAUACUAAUAGAAAAUUAACGCAACACAUUAUCGUCAUGUAUAUAUCAUGUGACCAAUACCUCAUCGUCAUUUUUCAUAUGACAUAAUAACCAGUUUAGCUCUACACAAAAAAGUUGACCCAACCGGCAAUUACCCCAUGUUUGAGUUAAAGAGUAAACGCUUCAAACAUUUAACCACGACCUCAAAUACAACAGUGCUAAAUCACACUUUAAAAAGAUCAUUUGAGUACGUUCUCCGAUACUAGAAUUUUUCAAAUACAUUUACUCUCAGACAAUCUCACACUUGGUUGAAUCCUUCGAAUCCGAAGGAACUUCAAUACGAGGACUUUGUUGGGUAUUCCGCUGACAUAAUAUCGUAGGGUCUCGACUCAGAUUUCUCUUCGUUCAACGCCACAUCACUCAGCGACAUAUAUAGAGUAGGACUUCGGUUGCUCCAAAUUUGCAUCAAUGUCGGACAAUCAGAACCUAAAUUAACAAAGGCAAAGUUAACAACAAAGAAGAAUUAACAUGUUUACAUUGUUUAUAUAAAAAAAUGGAGAUCUUAAUGGAUUGACGCAACUCAAAGAAAACAACUGACGUUUAUGAAAAAUGCAUUCUGAUUCAGCAAGUUAAAAAUCUCGCAGACUGAGCAGAGAGCAGAAAAAUGUAGGUAGGAUGCCAUACUUGCACAUUUAAAGACUCAUCGCUUAUAGAGGAUCAAGUUCCUUCUCAUCUAAAUUCUUUUGAUACUAAUCACAUAGUUCUAUGAUUUGGGACUUACAUAACAACAUUGAGUAUUGAUACUAACAGAAAACAAAAUCAACCUAAGAUGCAAAAAAAAUAAAGCUGCCCAUAUUCAAUGUGUAGACAGAAACUAAAGCACUGGUUUGAUUCAGUUCAUGAGAAAGAUCAACCAUGCAAGAAGACAAGGAUGUAUAUUGAUAUAUGAAAAAGAUCUAGAUAUUAAAGAUUCAGUUGAACUAAGAAGAACCAAUUGUUGAAGACCUAUAAUUAAACUAUUGGUGUGCCAAUGCAAGAAUAUAUAAAGCAAUUUAUUUCAUUACCCGAGGACUUGAAUAUGAGACCUAUCACCCUUGCAAUAAUGUACUAACCAACUUAUUUCAAAAAGAAACAUUAGAAUGAAAAGUGAUCACCACAUGUUUCAAGUGGCUAUCAUCAAGUAGAACUGAAAUAUUAUAAUGGAAUUUUUACCUAAAAGAAUUGAAUCAUCAAAUUAAAUUAAUACAUGUAAAACAAGUUCCCCACUCAAAACAAGGCAGUGUAUUUUCUUAUAAUUUCAUCAAGAGUAGUUCAUAUCUUCUUCCACGAGCGGCACACUUGCUUAUAAUCUAUACUAAUCUAUACCAUCCAUACAUACCGUAACACUACACAAUACAUCUGAUUUCUUUGGGAUAUAUGAGACAAAUUGGUUUGCUACAAUCCUUUACAAUUACUUAUGAAUAGAUUGAUCUUAAUAUCAACUAUUGGAAUUAUAUGAAAAAUGAAGAAGCUGACCUUGGUGGAAAAGCACUAGAAUGAAGAAUUGAAUAUCAUGAUUUUUAAAUAAAACUGACUCAAUCAUUCGUGUAGGGUGAAGAAAAUUUAUUCCAAAUAUACAAAGUAUCACAAAGUGAAACCCUAUAAAGGUUGAACAAUUGGAGAUUGAUAAUUGUGUGCUACGAGAAUGCCUCUACAAUUUAAACCCAUAAUUCGAAUGUUCUAUAAUUUACAAAGGUUGAACAAUGCAAAAGCAAAAACUCAAAUCAACACAUCGGUGAAGACAACAUUCAGCACCAAUUGGUCUACAUACCUGAAAUCAAGCCAAAAGAAAUAUCAACCACAGAACAUUUUGAGAGGAUGACCAGCUUGAAAAUCCACAGAAUUUUUUCCUUUGAAUGCACAUUGCUGUAUAGAUACAUUAAACAAAGAAGAAUUGAGUUGUCAAGUGAUAACAGAAGAAUAAACUAGGCUCCAGAAAUAUGCAUCAAAAUCAUGAUUCUCGUUAGUGAUGAACAGAGGUCACAAGACACAAAAUAAGAAGGGUUAUGCAAACACAAUGUCCUUUUCCUUUAAUAAACUUUCUAUCAGGGCCAUUUGUUCAAUCAAGUGUAUUUGAUUGCAACAGUACUAACUGCAAAAUUAAGAAAAAAUCAGAACCAAUCUCGUAUAAGACAGCUUCAAUCUUUAGUGCGGCCUUAUUAUUGUGAACUGUAUAGAUUUGCUCCAAAAUGUGUCCCUGUCACAAUGCAAACAAUUGGUUUUUGUUCUACAAUUUAUGGCAUCGAAAUGCUUUGUAAGGAAGAUACAAAGACCCUUUAGUACAUUCUUAAUCUCAAAAACCAUCAUGAACAAAAAGAUUGGAGUACCCUGAAGUAACCAGUUGGAGAAUCACUACAUCUUUCGUAAAUACAAAAGUACCACUGGCAUUACGACAAUUAUGUGCUACGAGGAUGUUGCUACGAUUUUUUAUGUCCUCAUAACUUCAAAUUCUAAAUAUUUGUCAGUUAAUACAAUAAUCUCUUCUGCUUUUGUAUCUCUUUUUUAAAACUAGCUGGAUCUGAAAGUAUAAAAAUCUUUGCACUGUCCCUUCCAACCAAAUCUUAGUCAGCUAUAUUUCUAGAAGACAAAAAAAAUUCCAAUUCAACAAACAUGAGAGACAAUGUCUUCAUUUUUUAUUGACAACACUAGCUGAUUAGUGAUAGCUUGAUAAAUAUUGAGAUAAGUGAAAUGAAAAGAUUCAACAAAUUCACAUUUAUAAUUUAUUAGCUUAAUUGAAAUUGAAUGAAGAACACCACUUAGUACACCAAGAGGUAGGAAUAGAUAACCAUGGGUCAUGUGAUGAUGACAACUUAUUUAUCAAGUGAGAAAUUAAGCAGGCUUCAGUUUGGUGUUCCAAAUGAGACAAGUAGUUCUUUAUCAAUAUACAUAUAUAACUCUAGAAACUCAAAAGCAUCUAUGCCAUCUUAUAAAUACAAAAAGCAGCUGGAAAAUCAUCAAGGGUAGCACAUUAUUCCACACAUUAAGAUGACAUCUUCGUGAUAUAAUGAUUAACCUGGUAUGGACCGCUAACUCUCUGCCGAAUAGAAGAGAGAACCCUGGUAAAUUUUCAUCAUAGAAAUCAGAAUAAAGGCCUUAAGCAGGAAUUCAUUACCAAGGUUUCCAGUAAUUUUUCUAGUUCACCACAUGUGCAACAGUUAUAGCAUAGAACAUAUACAAGUACGUGAACAACAUAUUGAAAGCAAAAUGAUCCUUCUUUGAUGACAAUAUGAUUAUGUUCAGUGUGGAAAUUUCAUGCGAUGGUACUCUGAUCUGAUGAUUAGGAAAACAUAGAUAGAGAGGAAACUAAUAUCAAUUUGGUUUUAAUAUAUCAAUGAAGACUACUAACCUCUUAAGAUAUGUUAACAAACAAAACUUUGCAUUAACACUGGAAAGUAAAGACCUUUAACAACAAAUUAUCAAUUUGCCUAUGGGUACUCUAGCUUCUUAAUGACAUGUAUGCACUUUGUGUCCGUGUCAAACUUCCUCCUAGACACAAAUAAGUGAUUAAUCUCACAAGGUCUCCCUAAAAAUUUAACUCAGCUUCACAAUUAACAUCAAACAGGUACUUCUGCUACAUCAGUCAAAACAUGAAAAUACCAACAAGGACAGGUUGUUCCCAAAUUUAUGGGUUCAGCUACCCCUGCCAUAGCAGAUUAGAAAGAAAAGGAAAGUGAAACUAGCAUCUCCUGGGCACAAUCAAUUAUGAUUUGAAACUACAUAUGCAAUUUGACAUCAGACAGACCAACAUCAGUAACUAGCAGGUUGAUUGUGGUACUAAACAGCAGAGGAACCAAAAAAAAGAGAGCAUAGCACCUGUCAAACAGCAAUUCUUCCAUCUGAUGCAGCUAGACACUAAAGACAUUACAAAGACAGCUGACCUCAUGACUUCCAUGAUCAGAUCACAGAGGAAACAAUAGGCAGAUGACAUCUUUGUGAAGAAUGGCCUAACGAUCUCACAAAGGGAAUUGCCUAACCAGAUAAUACUAUCAUUUUGCCAAGUUUCUGAGGAAGCCACUAUUGCUCCUGUGGUGGCUGAGGAAAUCCAUCGACAAUCUCCACAGGGUACCUAUGGAUGCAGUCCUCCCAUGGACCAUCUGGAGAGGGCUUGACACUACGAAGCGCCUGCCACACAGCACUAUUACACUUGAACCCACUCCCGAAGGCAAUCUGCCAAACACGGUGGCCCUUCCGCAUCCGCCCCUUUGCCUCAGUGUAAGCGAGCUCAUACCAGAUGGAGCUGGAGGAGGUGUUGCCAAACCUGUGAAGGGUCAUCCGGGAAGCCUCCACAUGCUCAGGCCGGAGCUGCAGAUUCUUCUCUAGCUCAUCGAUUACGGCCCUUCCGCCGGCAUGAAUGCAGAAGUGGUCAAAGGCAAGCUUGAAGUCCGGGAUAUAGGGCUUCACCUUGCCAUUGAAGAGCUUCUUGGCCACGAGGGUCGCGAAGAAGAGGAGUUGCUCGCUAAUUGGAAGGACGAGGGGGCCAAGGGUAGUGAUGUUGAUCUUGAGCGCUUCCCCAGCGAUGGCCAUGAGCUCCUUGGAGAGGGACACGCCGACCUUGCCAGCCUCGUCCUGCUCCUGGUACACGCAACGGAAGGCCUUGUCGUCGGCACCACGGUGCGUGCGGACGACAUGGACAAGCUUGUACCUGGCACGCCGGCGAUCCACCGUGCGGUUGGAGAGCAACACGGCGGCGGCGCCGACGCGGAACAGGCAAUUGGGGAUGAGCAUGGACUUGCGGUUGCCGAAGUACCAAUUCUGGGUGAUGUUCUCGGUGCUGACCACGACGGCGUAGGUGGAGCGGUGGACCUGGAGGAGAUCCCGCGCGAGGUCAAUGGAGAUGACGCCGGCACUGCAACCCAUGCCACCGAGGUUGAAGCUCUUGAUGUUGCCGCGGAGCUUGUAGCGGUUGACGAUCAUGGCGGAAAGAGACGGGGUGGGGUUGAAGAGACUGCAGUUGACGACGAGGAUCCCGACGUCCUUGGGCUUGACGCCGGUGUUCCUGAAGAGGGUAUCGAGGGCGCCGAACAUGACAUCCUCGGCUUCCUCGCGGGCGUAGGCCAUGGAGGGACGGGGCGGGAUGUAGUGCAGGGCGGAGGGCAGGCAGGUCUCCUGGCCGAGACCCGAGCGCUCGAGGAUCCGGCGCUGGAACUCGAGAGAGGACUCGUUGAACUCGCCGGAGAGCUGCGAGUGCUUCAUGAAGCGUCGGAAGGGAACCUGGAGCUUCGGCGGCGGGCGGUAGCAGGCGUAGUCAACGAGGUACACGGGGCGGGGCCGGGUCAUGAUGUAAACGGUGGCGCCAAAAACGAGAAAGGCGGAGCAGACCAAGACGCUGACGAGGUUGUACUGGAGGUGGAGCCACAACUGCCGGAGGUCGUCGGGUUCGGUCUGCGCGGCCUCCAAGAGGAUCACCACCAUCAGCGGGAUUAGCAGCAGGGCCAGCAGGUGGGUGAUGAGGUAGUGGUAGCCCAGCUUCACGUACUUGAUGUUCACGCUCUGCAAGAAGUCCGGCAGCCGCCGACUCUCCCGCCGCGGCAGCACCGGAGCUUGCUCAACCGCCGCCGCCGCUCCCCCUCCCUCCAUCCUUGCUGCUUUAGCCAAUAAGGUGUCUAAGGAUCUGAGCCAGAGAGAGAGAGAGAGAGAGAGAGAGAGAGGGAGGAAGGGCGAGGCGGACUCUCUCGAACCCUUCCCACCUGCCUUAUGGUCAAGCACGUCUUUGUUGGGAGCCAAACCAAGUAGCGGAUUAAAUAGGAGCAAAAGGACACUCAGCGUUCACCACCAUGGUGUUCGACAAUACGAGUGGUCUCCAAAGUCCCGCCCACAUGGAGCCUCUCCUCCCUCCCUUGCCCUCUCGUGGUCGCAGUGGGGGACAACCGAGUUGACGCCCCAACACGUUAAUCGAGGGGGGGGGGAGAAGAAGAAGAGAGACGGGAGGGAAAGGUGAUUCGAACCAUCACGUAGCAACGUGCACAGGCUGGCGGUCCCGCGUUUGUAGCCGACGAGAGGCAGCCCCGUUCGCGGAUACCCCGAACCACAAAUCCAAGCCGCGUGCCCUCGCGUCCCUCACCCGAGCCACCCGAAGAGACGCGACGCCACAUUAAACCCGCCCCCUUCCGGCCUUGAUCCAACACCGCGAGGAUCACAUCACCGUCGGUUGAUGCAACCUGUUGCACCGCCAGCGUACACGGGAAGUAACCAAUCGCACGACGCAAUACCAGGCUGAUCGAUUAGCAUAAUUAAGCAAUCAUUGGUCUUAUCGAUCGAGACCGAGACAAUCCGUCCCAGUUGCCGUAUUAGAUCAAGAGGGGAGUGUUGAUGCCAUCGGCCGACGCACAUGGGACCUGCUUAUUCUAAAAGGUGGAAACUUUGUGGAUCUCCGCUACUUAAUGGUCAAACUCCGUUGCUUCUCUAUCCAAUCAAUUAUUGAGAACGAAACUGACAAAGAUGACGUACAAAAGAUUUUACGUCAAUAAUAAUAAUAAUAAUAAUAAUUAUUAUUUCUCCAGAACCCACACUUGAUUUUAUACUAAAUUAAAAUCGAAUCCAUCUAAAUCGAGAUCCAAACCCAUCAGUAAUUUUAUAAUUUUUAGUCAAACUAAAGGUUUUCUAUUUGAUUCCAACUCCCAACUAUGUAACAAAGAAUUUAUGAUAUUUGGAACCAUCAUAAAACUAGUUUACAUUUUUUUAAUAAUUUAUGAUAUUGUUUUUUAUAUUUAGAGUGAAUGAUGAUAGCAAACCUUUCUGCCCGAGGGAUAGAUAGUGACUCGAGCAAUGAUUGAUGCUCCAUAAUGAUCUCCACAUGUACUUGAGACUGCAGCCCUAACUCUGCCAGCCAAAAUCUAGAAGCCCCACAAGAAGCUUCACCCCCACCGCCAGCCAAAAUCUAGAAGCCCCACAAGAAGCUUCGCCAGACUUGGUCUGGGUCAAUAACUGCUUAAGAAUCAAAUCUCACAUCAUAUAACCAUACAUUGGUCUUUCAGUAGAUCCAGCAGAGGCAUGUAAAAGAAGCUCCUUUGGUUUGAACUGUUCCGAAUGUUUUGUUUUGUCCAACUUAAGCCGGCCUUCUAAAACAAUGCUGACAUCCUCUUCCGGUUUUCUUCAGAAGAUGAAGCUGUCAUGAUGUUGACAUUAACAGUACUGAAAGCUUUUCGAAGAAGAGUUCAUCCUUCCCCCACCUAAUUCUGCGGCUUCUGCGUUGAAGACGAUCAUGCAUCGGAGCUUAUUAGACUGUCGAAGUGUUCUUCUACGUGUUCCUCCCCACCAAUAUAAACCUAGGUAAGCUUGCAUGGCCUUCUGCCAAACACCGUGAUGACUCCAUGCAAGCAUUGGAGGAGCUCCACCUAGCAUCAUAAAUAGGCACCUACUAGGCUUCAGGUGUGAGUUAGUGGAUCCAGUGGAGUAGUAUCAUCACCGGUUCUUUCAAGAUCAAAAGAUCAUGUCCUAGCACAUGUAUACUAUAAUUUUCUAAAGAUUGACUUGCAAUAGACAGAUUGCAAUCAUGAAUGAAAACCAAAUAUUAACCCAAAUAUUUACUGAUCAAACCCAUGAUUAGUCUAGUAUAUGUUGAUAGGAUCUUACUGUAUAAGGUCAUAUUGCAUGGCAAAGCAUUGAGCAUGUUCAAAGGUCAUGAAUAACUUAGGUAAUCUCCUAUCCUUAUUACUACAACCUAUGAACCUGUGAACCUCAAACCCAAUUUGAGUUCAUGCCACUGCAAGUUAGAUCAGUUGUGGCCGGGGACUCACAUGAUGAUAAUACAUGUCCCAACAUUUAUACACAGGUUUAAGUCCAAAUACAAGCCAACACCAGCAUACCUACUGCUUGUUGGUUUAGGCACAUGAGCAAGACAUAGUAUUAUCAUUGCGCUCGAACAUAUGUUUAACUAGACAUAAGAGUGAACGAGUGAUAUUAUCCAAACACUUAUACGUUUGACAUCAUCGUUUAUAUGUCGAUGUGUAACUUUUGUUGAUGUUAUGUCAUUGUCGGUGUAUCAUCCUAAAUAGGCUUGUCACUAACGUGUGGGCCCAACCAAGACAUUGAUAUGUCUAGGUUUAUGAUUCGCACCUAUAUCAAUAUUUAUAUGCCUUGGAUAUAUAACUAACUUAUAUAUACUAUUAUAUGCUAGCACAUGAGCUUGUAGUCCUAUAAAAUUUUUGUUACAAGAUUGGAAUUAGUUAUCAUAUUAGAUACCUAGGGUAGAUCACCAUAUUUUCAUUUUCUUUCUCUCAUAAUUGCAUUUGUUAGAAUAUAAAACUAUCGACAACUCAUAUAUAUAUAUAUAUAUAUAUAUAUAUAUAUACAUAUAUAUAUAUAUAUAUAUACAUAUAUAUAUAUAUAUAUAUAUAUAUAUACAUAUAUAUAUAUAUAUAUAUAUAUACAUAUAUAUAUAUAUAUAUAUAUAUAUAUAUAUACAUAUAUAUAUAUAUAUAUAUAUAUAUAUAGUUGUCCGAAGUACUUCAAAUAUGAAAAUGUCGAGUUUUCAAUAUCACAUACUCCAAAGAUUAAAGUUGAAAGAAGUUUUUCAACCCGAUCCCUUUAAUGUUCAAGUUAAUAACUUGGAGGUGUAUGAAUAUGAAAGACAGUAGUUAAAAAAAACUCGCCUUUUCAUUAUAUUAGAGAUAAGUUUUUACGAUCGUAAAGAAAUAUUCAAUAGAAUAUUUUAAGGGAAGAUAACCUAUAAAUGUCUCCAAUAGUGUCUCCUUGGCUCUUUGUCCAUGUGAGCGAAGGAAGGGGGAGGGUGACUUUAUCUUCUCCUUCCACCUUAGACACCACAUGACGGUUGUAUGUCAUAUAACGAUUAGCUGAUAGUGAUUCUCUUUAUCAUUUGUUCUACACCAAAGGCAUUUUUCAGUGCUCUUACCAAAGGGGUCCAAAGUGCAACAUCUAGUUCAUCUAGCACAUCGACCUCGUAUCUCUUUGAUCUAUUGUCGACUUGAUAGCAUGUUUAGUUCAUCCAUCAUGUCUAAUCCAUCAUGCAUCUCGCAUAGUCUGGAAUGAGUUUGUCCAAUACUUUCAUCUAAGAUCUCCUCCUCCAAUAUUAUUAGUAGUAAUCCAUUACUAACUUGCUCCUUGUAUCAUCGAGGAACAUGCAUUAGUUGGAUAAGGUUAGGUUUUUUGACCUCCACGCCUUAAGCAUAGGCAAGGUCAGACUUCUUAACUUCUUACGGAAUGUUGGAUGGUUGAUGAUGUCUUAUUAUUAGACAAUAAUUUCAUAGUCCCAAUGGUGCAUCUGGUCCUUAGAUUUGAGAUACCAGUGAUAUCCUAUAUGAGUACUAAAUCUAACACAAUUAGUUAUCGGGAGUGGCAGCCAACCUUCCGAGGACUAUUGAGUGUUGAUAGAGGAUCAUCAACGCUCGGUAUAAUGAGAGGAAUAUCUCAUGUGUUCUUGCUCAAACAAAUCCCUAGCUAGGGUCAUUCAGAUUGAGAGAGAAAGAGUUCUCUCGGAGAAUUCGAUUAAAGCGAGACUCGAGUAGAAACCAUAUGAGUUUGACAACACCAUGCCCGGUAUACGGUCUUUGGGAUAUUAGAUGGAUGAGAGACUAUAGGUAUAUGGUAACUGAGGAUAAACAUGCCCAAUGGAUUGAAUUCCUCUAUAUCGUCUAAGGACUACAACGUAAUGGCUUAGUACGUCCACAAUUGAUGAGUCAAGUGAAUUAUUAUGGAGAUAAUAAUUCACUUAUUCAGAAGAAGUUCUGACAGGUAUGACUCACUACCAGCUCGAUAUUGGGCGUAGAGAGUCACACACAUAUGAUAGGCAUUGCGAUGAGUAGAGAUUCGAAUAUGCGAUAUUUGUCGAAGCCCCUAUCUUAUUAGAUAUCCAGUAAGCCCUUGAAUUAUUCGAUCCUAUGGAUGAGAUCCAAUAAGAGCUAAUGAGAGAUUAUUAGAUAGAAAUCCACUAAUCUAAUAGGCUUGGGUAGUUGAAUGGAGAUCCAAUACCCAAUAGAGUAGGAUCCAUUAGGGUUAUGUUGAUAAGUGACCUCUAUAAAUAGGAGAGAAUUAAUGGUUCAUAGGCCAGAACCUCUUUUGGUUGUCACCUCUUAUUCUCCUCUCCCCUUCUCCUCUUGAGAUAGUAGGAUUGGAGACUUAAGGAGUAUCAUCGUAGUCCUGCUGUAUGGAUCACCACUAGAGUGGUGGAUGCUUGACCUCCUUCAACUAUUAAAAGAAUGGGCGAAACCGAGUAUCCCAAUUCUCUUAUCUAUCCAACAGAUGGGCUUUACAAAUAUUCAAAGACCAUUCGAAGAAACCAAAUGAAAGAUAAUAGUUGUUAAAUUCUCACCAAUGGUGAUCAAUGCUACUGAGAAUAGAUUAUCCGCUUCAUUUCCUAAGAGAAUGCCAAUCGAAAGUGGAAGCGAUGCGAACCUACUUGGAAGUGACAACUAAGUGAAAGAAAAGUCGAUAGACAAAUUUUGUGGAGGAAUGACCUAAAAACUUUAAAAGUUUGCAGUGUGAUGCUCAUUAAAACUUCAACAAGCAUCCACCCAGUUCAAGUAGCAUGAGGUAUUUAAGAGAUUAGCGUAUAAUAAGGAUGGUCUUUUCCUUUAUCUAAAGGAUUCGUAUGAACCAAUAGGAAUCAACACAACUCAGCCAACCCCAUAUUAGAGUCAAAGUCAAUGGUGAGUUGAAGCAGUAUGACGGAUCAAAAGUUCGACUACUCAAAAAUAGUGGCAAGGAGUAGCUGGGAGCCAGGAGGCAUAUUGUAGCUGGUACAAAAGAUUGAAGACUCAACAAAGAUAAGGAGUUAUAGCGACGGUAAAGGCUUCAACGAGGACAUCGAAGGAAUAAGUGGGGGAGAAUGUCAUGGACAAAAUUAUAAAUAGGAUGUUCGAUGUAAUGCUUAUGUAUGUUCAUGUCUGUUGGUUUGUUCAUGCUUUACACAAUAUGUAGAGGGAUGGUCGAAGGCUUAACAACCUCAUUUUAGUUAGGUUUAGUGGCUGUUUUAGGUUUGUAAAUAAAGGUUGUGUUAUGUGGACACUUAUGAGAGAUGUUCGGUCUGUAGUUGAUCAUUUUAGAUCCUUUGUUGUGUGACCGUUCAGAGCUUAUAAAGUAUGUUUAUAAUUUACAUUAGCUAUGAAGUAUUUUCUGAAAUGAUUGCUUAUAGAUCCCGAGUGAGGCACUUUCUCUAAUAUGUUUUCUCUUUUGUAGGUCCUAAGGGACCAUGGGAGGUUUCGAGGUGGUUGACCCUUGCGAAUGGACACACAAGGGUGUUGAAUCUCAGAUUUUGAUGAUGAAACUAAUUGAUUGUGUUUAGAUGUUUAAAAGCAUUUUGAGUGAUGCAGGUCUACUCGAUCAGGAUUAGACAGUUGACGCAGGAGGAAUUGACAUUGCGUCGGAGGAGAUCACGUCAGGAUAUUAGACGGCAGAAGGCUUCGGACGUCGGGCAUCGGGCCAAGGAGAGUGGAAUUGCGCCAAGGAUAUCGGGAUUGCAGAGGUCAAUCGUCGAUUGGGCAACAAGCCGCAAGAGAGGACGAUGCGCUAAAGAAUCAGACGAAGUGCCAACCAAUGACGUGCCGGGCAAAAGAAUGUCAAUUCACGUUAUAAUAAUUGUCUAGAUCGGAGUAGAGUUUUGGCUUAUGUGUGCAGGAUUAACUACGAUAACAAUGAAGACAUAAAGCGAAACAAAGUGCCAGAGUCAAGCGCGAAGGAUUCGUUGCGAGUUUGAGAGUUCGACGGAAGUCCAAAGGUUCGUCGGGAAUGCUGCCGGAACUAGCCGAGAAUGAGUAGGGAGCUUGCCGAAGGGUUUUUCGGAAGUUCACCGGAAGGUUCGUUGGAAGUUCGCAGAGCUCAAAGAGAAAGAUCGGAGCUUGCCGAAGAAGCUCGUUGGAACUCGCCAAGAUCAAAUCAUGAAGUCUAGGAGCUUGCCGGGAGUCCGCAUAAUGGCUUCCGAGAGUUUAUCGGAAGACCGUCGGAAGCUCGCCGGAAGAAGUCUUGACUUACGGACUUUGUAAUAGCUUAGAAAAUGUCUUUAAAUUCAUAGUUAGCACGUUAAUUAGGGUUAGGAUUAGGUGUUAAUCCUAUAACCCAAGUAUGGGCCAAUUGGGCCCGAGUUCGGACUGGUUUGGGCCAAGUUUGGUGCCCAACUAGUGAGCUGAAAUAGUGUAGGCGGUGGCACCGCCUAGAACCUGAGAACUGAGCGGUGGCACCGUCGGACUAGGCGGUGGCACCGCCAGUACACUGUCAGUGUCAGACACUGACAGGUGGUGGCACCGCCAGCCUCGGGAACCCAAGAGAAUUCAAAAUUUGGAGCCCAAAUUUGAAUCCUCUUGGGGCCUAUAAAUACCCCUCAAUUCUCAGCUGAGAACACAACCUUUGAGAAGCAAGAGAUUGAGAUAAAAGUCUUAGCAAAGUCUUUAGCAAGUUUUUGUUUUCAAUUGCUUGAGUGUUCACCUCCUUCUUUCUCUUUCAAAAUUUGUAAGAGAGUGAACCACUUGUAAAAGGUUGUAAGAGGGGUAUUUGUCCUUCCCCUUCAAAAUGAUUUGCUAGUGGAAGUUGGGAGCCUCAUCGAAGAAGGCUUCGUAAGUGGAUGUAGGUCGCAUGAUCGAACCACUAUAAAUCGGUUUGCGUUUAUCUUAUUGUCAUUUAUAUUACUGCAAACCAUCUUCACUUUGAUGCUCUACUUCUUUGUCUCCUUCUUACAUAUUCCUUCAAGUUAAAACGCAAUCGAAACGGUUUCAAACGAAACGUUGCUUUUAUCGUACGAAGUUUCUGAAAGUGUUUAAAUCGUCAAAAGUUUAUCGUACUUUACCGCUGCACUAAGUCACCCCCCUCUUAGUGCCACUCCGAUCCUAACAAAGGGUACCGUAUGGCUUAGUCAAAAUCAAUUAAGUCCAUGACAGAUUGGGUUUCGGAUUCAGGCAGGGAAGUGUGGUACAUUGAAUUUUACGAUCGGGGACCAAAUUGCCCCCUUAGUUCGAUAGGUCUCAAGUGCUCAUAGGAUGUCAACCCCACAUCGGGUGGGGGAAACCUUGAAGGGUGUCGGUGUUGGUAGUGGUUAAGUCAAUGAUCGCGGUUGAGUUGGUGGUGUAGCUUGUUGGGGUAACUAGGGCAAAAGUGGAACGAUGAUCUGUAUCAUGCUUGUUAGGGUUUGCACUUACUAGAUGAGAUUCCAUAACACAUCGACAAGGAUGAGAAUAUGGCUAGGGGUCAUCCUCGGGGGUGAGAGGCCUAAGUCAUUGAAUAAAUGCCAAUAUCAUAUCAAUGUUUGUGCCGAGGUAGAUGCAUCUAUAUGCGGAAAGGGUGAUUGCUGCUCCUAUUGAGUAAAAGUACUAUGAGUCGAAGGUAAAGUCUCUUCCCUCGAGCGUUUAUUGAAAAGGUCGAUGGGCGAGAAUUCAUAUAACAUCGAAUCCUCCUUCUAGCACCAAAACAAUGAGAGAAGAAAUCAUUAACAUCUUGGUUAGCUCGACGUGGUUUGAACUCGUAUGCACAGGAUUGUCCAAAGUGCCUCCGAGGUAAAAAUGUCAAGUUUUCAAAAUGUCACAUGUACGAAAAUUGAGGUCGAAAAAGAUUUUCCAAUCCGAUCCCUCCAAUACCCAAGUUAGUAACCUAAUGUGUAUAAGUGUGGACACUAAUAGUCAAAAAAACGAAAACCCACCUUUUUUAUGUUGGAGAUAAACUUUUAUAUCUAAUUAUAAAUAGAUAAAAUAUUUUAUAAAAUAUUAUACAAGACAAUCUACAAUUGCCUCCAACAAAUUUUCUUUUGUGACAUUUACUAUAAAUGACAUACUUUCUAUCAACUUUUAUCAUAAAUGAUCGAGAGAAUGAAGUCUAUACUCUCACAAUUACAUCUCUAUCAUUCGUCUAAAAUAAAUAGAAUACAUAUGUGCAAGACUUGCACGGAUUAAGCACAAACACAAUACACUACACAUACAAACGAUAGUUGACAUUAGGAAAAAAGAAACUACGGUUGCAAUAUAUGACACGAAUUCAAGAAUAUGGUUCUUAUGACAUGACUUUUUCUUUCAAUAUUUCAUAGUCAAGUAUAGAUAAUUUUCAUCAAACUAUUAACUUAUAUUUGGAUCCAACUCGAAUUGAUUUGAGGUUAGGUCAGAUAUUGUUAAUCAUUUUUUCUGGAUUCAGAAAUAUAUAAAACACAAACAAAUCAUAUGAAUGUUUAAAUUGCAUAAGCAGAGAAGAAAAUUAAGGGGAACAAAUCAUUGGGCAAAAAUUGCCUUCCGAAAAUAAUAUUCCUCAGAUCGGACUAGAAAAGAUUCCAAAUUCACCGCCUGGGUUUGAGUCUGCCUUGGGGAUCACCAAUCACAGAGAAGCACCGGCCCGCGCCGCCUCUCCCUACCAUUGGAACAGUCGAGCACUUGGGAUGGACCACAGCGUCGCGAUCGUGUUUCUGCCACGAGGCCGAGGCGCGGGACACCGGCCCGCGGUGGCCUUUCCUCCGGAACGGAUAGAAAUUCCAAGGGUUCCGUGGUCGCUGGGCCUUCUUCUGGUGCUGUUACUUGACAGGGAUGAACGUGCAGUACAAAAUUGAAAGAAAGAAAUAAGAGAGCACAGAAAUGCACCGUGUUAAUUCCUAGAAUUGCUGGAACUUUCUUCCAAGUCUGCUUCACAGAAAAACUCGAAUUCCACCUCUACCACAGAACAUGAUUGACCACAAGUCGUUCCACUCUGCAGAACCACCACAUUUUGAAUGAUCGACAGCCGUUCAUUCCAGUUGCCAACGAAACACUAAUUGUCAACAAACGGGAAGUCAUCUGCUACAAUCCUCUCAAAUAAGUAAAAGAGAAAUAAAGAGAAUAAAGGGCUUAAUAGAUUCAAUUGAUCUAUUUAAGGUGGCAUGCUGUCCAUAAUCAGAAGAGAGGAACAUACAAACCUUCCAUAGUCUCUGUUUCCAUGGCCUCCGGUGCUCCUGCAGAAUCGCUUGGAGGCCAAGUGAAGAAGAGAGCUUUCGUAACAUUCCUGGCAGGGGACGGCGACUAUGUGAAGGGAGUGGUAGGGCUGGCAAAAGGCCUGAGAAAGGUGAAGAGUGCUUACCCUUUGGUGGUGGCGGUGCUGCCCGAUGUGCCCGAGGCUCACCGCCGAUUGCUUCAAGCCCAGGGCUGCACUGUUCGGGAGAUCGAACCCGUUUACCCGCCUGAGAACCAAGUGCAGUUUGCCAUGGCUUAUUAUGUCAUCAACUACUCCAAGCUGCGGAUUUGGAAUGUAAGUGAGCCAAAACGAUACUUCUUUAGGUUGUCAUUCAUGUUCCUUUUUUCCUUUCUCUUCGGGUAUCUAUAUGGAGGAAGCUGAACCCUACAGAAAGUUACGCAAAUGAUGUCUAAUUAAUGAUGAUGACUCCUUGGUUGCUGCUAAUUGCAGUUUGUGGAGUACAGCAAGAUAAUAUAUUUAGAUGCAGAUAUCCAAGUGUAUGACAACAUCGAUCACCUGUUCGACAUGCCCGAUGGCUACUUCUAUGCAGUGAUGGACUGCUUCUGCGAGAAGACAUGGAGCCACUCUCGACAGUACUCAAUUGGCUAUUGCCAGCAGUGUCCGGACAAGGUGGCAUGGCCUGCUGAGAUGGGAUCCCCUCCUCCGUUGUACUUCAAUGCAGGGAUGUUUGUAUCUGAACCAGCUCGACCAACUUACGAUGGCCUUCUUGAGACUCUUAUGACAACACCUCCAACUCCCUUUGCGGAGCAGGUGAGUCCUCCAACUGGGUUAAAUUUUUUGGAGUUUGAUACAAAAUAUAGAACAGGAUUAUUUACAUAACUAAAAAAUUCUAGUAAGAUAAGGAGAUAAGUUAGUGGACCAGAUUAGAAGAACAUUCUCGCAAACAGAACUUUGAGUUGAAACUUGAAAGAUCAAGAACUAGACAUGCAAAUGAAACAAUCUGAUAGUCCAACCGUAACAAUAAUUAGAACAAAAACACAGUUCAUUUAGUUAUUCUACUUAAUUAAUUUCUACUUCUAGGUAAACACCUGAGAUAUUACAAAAUUAACCCACUCCAGGUAGGUAACAAAAUUAUGAACCAUGCAAAUCUGGAAACAGGUUAACACAUGCUUUCAUUAUGUAAGAUCCACACAAUCAUUAUCCUAUAACCAGCAUCUUGCUCCAGUCCCUAAAGAGAUAGGAGUCUUUCUAACCUUGGACAUAGGGAAGUACCGUUAAGUCAGCAAAACUAUACAUUUUUUCUUAUUCAACAACUACAUGUGGCAUAAAAAUUGACCAUAUAUUCUCUACAUCCUGCCUUAUCUCUUGCGACUGGUGCAAAUAUUCCUUACAGCUAAUGUUGUUUAUAGAGAUUAUGAAGCUAGGGAAUGUGACAAUUAUGACAAUGACAUCGGUGGUUUCCUUGCGUAGAGUUAGCAUCGACAGUUUUUCUUAUCUGACAAAUAUGAGGAUAACUGGAAUUCGAUUUAGUCUAUUGGAAAAUAUUAAGAACCAUGUAUUUUUCACUCUAUUUCUGACCUCAUUUUUGUAGGACUUCCUGAACAUGUAUUUCGAGAAAAUCUACAAGCCAAUUCCGCUCAUCUACAAUCUGGUUCUAGCCAUGCUAUGGCGACACCCUGAAAAUGUUGAGCUUGAAAAUGUCAAGGUGGUCCACUAUUGUGCCGCGGUAAGUGCUACAUUAGUCACUUAUCACAAGUACCAGCAUCAUAAUCCAACAUUCCACAAAUUAAUAUUGUAUUUAUCGACCUGCUGUUGCUUUCCAAUGAUGGUGAUAUAGGGUUCCAAGCCUUGGAGGUACACUGGAAAGGAAGCUAACAUGGACAGGGAGGAUAUUAAGAUGUUAGUAGCAAAAUGGUGGGGUAUUUACAAUGAUAAGUCUCUUGACUUUGCUGCAGAGGAUGCAGUCCCAGAAGGAGAGACCUGCUUACCUUCUUCGAUAAUGGUGGCCAUGUCAGAAAACAAUAUCAACUACAUCUCUGCACCCUCUGCUGCCUAAGACAGAAUAAGGGGAGGGAAACAAGAGCAACUAUGAAAGAUAUAAAGAAUAUGAUAUGAUUCUAUAAACACUCCACCUUUCAACACCUAUCAGUAGCUAACCAUAGCAUCCUCUUGAUCAUGAGGUUCCCUGUAGUUUUAUCCCUUGAUUAUAAAAUCUAUAGCAGCCUUAACCACUUAUUUUCCCAUUGUCCGUUUCUGAGUGUAGGCAUAUCUAUGCACCAGCAAAGUAGUAAAAGUUAAAGCUCGUAAGGUGACAAAAUGCGUUGCUCUAUGUUUCUAGAUCCAUAUAUAUAUAUUGUAAGCUUCUCUUUAUAUAGAAGAUAACUAAUUGGUUCAGUUCCCAUACUUGAUGAGCUUCUUUUCUGUUGGAAUAAAAAACGUUCUAGUUUAUAAGAAUGCCAAGCAUUACACUUAAACAAGAACAUUCAAAAGAACCACCUCUGUUACCGUCAUUAUGGAAGGAAAGGAAACCUUUUCAUUGAUUUUGAAUGAAGAAACAUGUGAAUAGUGAAAAAUAAGGAACUCUGUUUCAAAUGCUAUUGAUAAAUGCUAUCAAACUCUAGCCUCGGUUUUUUACUUGAAGCUACUUCAUGGACUGGUAUUUGUUCCAAGUUAAAUAGUUCAAAAAUGAAAAGCACCGAUUAGUUCAGGUACCACAAAUAUCGGGGUUGUACCAUAGGACGAAUCCAGGGGGAACAAUCUUCACAAAGGGGCCACGCAUCCUCAUGGCAGAGCAAAGUUUGCUUCGUUAGACUCGAUUUCUAACUUAUAUUUAAAUGUCUACUCUUACUACAACAUUGAUUGCAUGAUUUAAAUCUUUAAUUCUCCAACAACCUUUUGAUAGGAUGCUGAAAUAUCAAAGUGUCAAUUUCAGAUCCCACAAACACAGCACUGGCACUGUCAUUGAAGCACAUUGUUCUAUGAGCAACUAAGGUUCUUGCAUUUUUUGAUGGCUUCAUAUAUCCAUAUGUCAUGUAAAUCGAUCAACAUGAAAACACUUCCAAACAAUAGUAACUCCUAAUCGAAGCCUAAACCAUUCCCGUAAUUUGCUCAUUGCCCCCUAAUCACCAAAUAUACUUCUCAAAUGUGACCUAAGCCUUUGCAAAGGUUCAAGAAACAGAACGGACUCGCCUCGAUGGGCCAAGGCUUAGCCCGACCAAGAUGGUCAUGUUCCGCAGUUGCUAACACCUUAUCUUCCCUGACCAAGUGAUGGGUUUGGGCAACUCGAUUGCAAUCGCAGGGGGCUGCUAAAUUUCGGCCGGAAAAGAACAAACUGUCGUUUCGACAAUGAUACCAAUCGUCAAAAACCCUUCUCAACCAUGACGACAAGAUCAAAGGAGUUGGAGAUAGGGCAUCAGAACUACUCUUCCUUCCAAGAAAUCGAAUGUAAAUGAGUUAGAUACGACAAGGGAAAAGUCAGAACUGAACCUUCUAAAGAGGCCGAGGAGGAUAAGGCCGACCAGAUUCCGAUGUGUGCCGGUGGGGGUGAGCGGGGUCGGAUGGAAGAUGAGAUCGAGGCGACCGACGCCGAUGGCGGGAGGAGCGGCAAAGUCUCGAUGGUUUCCUCGAUGUCACGCGAUAUAUAACGGUGAGGAAACCUCCUUUAUAAUCCAUGUUAUGUACAACAUAUGUUAUCUUUAUUGUAUCGGCUGUUAUAAUGACGAUAGGGGAAGUGUCCGCGAGAGGUUCUAUUGCGCACAUGGUGCGUGUCGCCCGGCUCACGCCGGGUCCACACGAAGACUAAUCAUAAUAUCUGUUUUCACCGUGGGACCCAAUACCAGGUCUGGUUCGGAAGAUUCCUUCACCCGCGUGCGACAGACACGUGUGCGCACUGUAAAGUUUGCUUCAUCUCCUUCGACACUCAACCUAGAGAGAGAGAGAGAGAGAGAGAGAGAGACGGGUGACAUGCUUCGACUGCUCGUGCAGUGAACUGGUAAUCUCUCUAUAAAUGGGGCAGUAGUGUCUUUGGUGUAAACAAUCAUGUUAUCAUCUCUAUAAAGCCUUGCAACCACCUCCUUCACCAUUCCCAUCCCCAUAUCUCCUGUUACACUCCCUGCGUCGUUCCCCUUUCUUUUAUCUCUCCUCUUCCCUCCUCUUCCAUGGACGGGAAAGGUAACAGCAACAUGAGUAACAAGAGCGUGAACAGCGGCGAAGAAGCCGACGUCAGGAAAGGGCCGUGGACCAUGGAGGAGGACCUCAUCCUCGUCAACUACAUAGGCAACCAUGGCGAGGGCGU
rnacentral:lncRNA from 1 species